rnacentral:lncRNA from 1 species
AUUUUUUUUGUAGUGCCUCCACCAACAAUCACACUCCACGCCUGGUCCUAAACAAUGGGUACCUUCCAACUAUCAACAAUCCUGGGGAAGUUUUGUUUAAUUAUUUGCGAUUUCGUUUUUGAUCUUUUGAUCAUAGGACUGGGCAUCCCAAUUACCAGCCACUUUCUCGUGAAUGAUGAGAGGAGUCCACUCAUCGUGAGAAUAACCCACCUAGCAUGGAAGAUACUGACAACCCCUAGUCGCUACAUGAGCGAUUCGAGCAUACAAAACAAAUUAUUAUUUGAAGGUUUAGAGUUUGGCACAUGAAAAUUUACUUGGAACGGCAGGUAAAUACCGCAUAUAGGUAGAUAUGGUGGACACUCAUGGAAGAAACUUGGUUCAAGGAAUUUGGAUGCAUAAGAAGUAUUCCGCUUGGUACAGAAAUUUAGGCUAGCAAAAGAUUCUAAAUAGCAAGCACCACAAGUUGGAGGAUCCAUAACAAUAUAACUUCUAUACAAAUAUACCCAAGCAUAACUCAUUAUGUUGUCUUCCUUGUCGAGCUUCAACUAAUUUUAUCAGGUUUGAAAAUAAUUAAUGGGGCUCACAAUCAUAGAAGAUAUCCAAGAUAGUAUAUUUAUAUGUGAAAUCUCUCUUCCUUCAAUAUUCUUUCAUGAAUUGUUCAAGUGACCAAUACUAUGUUUGCUAACUUUCAAUAAAUUUGCCACCUCUACUUCUAUAUGUGAAGUCAUUACUCCCCAUGGUAUAAGCAUAUGAAACAAAUAUAAAUUCAGAUUUAUGAUAUUCAAUUCAUUCAACCAUUUACUCAUAGGAUAUAAGUGAAGCACACGAGUAAAUGACAAAUUAUCCAAAAAGAUAUAAGUGAAGAUCAAUGAGUAGUCAAAUAAUUAAGUAGCUAUGCGAAGACUCUCUCUCAUUUCAGAAUUUAAGAUCUUAAUAUUUUAUUCAAACAACAAGCAAAAAAAAUGAAAUGACAUUCCAAGGAUAACACAUAUCAUGUGAAGAAGCAAAAACUUAGGCUCAACCGAGGCUAACCGAUGAUUGUUGAUGAAGAAAGGUGGGAUGCCAACCGGGGCAUCCCCAAGCUUAGAUGCUUGAGACUUCUUGAAAUAUUAAUUAGGGAUUCCUUGGGCAUCCCCAAGCUUGAGCUUUUGUGUCUCCUUAAUUCCUUUCAUAUCAUAGUUUCCCGGAAUCUAAAAACUUUAUCCACACAAAACUCAACAAGAACUUGUGAGAUAAGUUAGUAUAAAUCCAUGCAAAACCUUAUCAUUCUCUACUAUAUAAAAUCACUAAAAUUAUUAUUCGAUAUUUCCUACUAAAUGCCUCUGCAUAUUUAACACUCCUAUCUUCAAAUAGAAUCAUUAAACAGGCAAACAUAUGCAAACAAUGCAAACAUAACAGCAAUCUGUCUAAACAGAAUAGUCUAUAAAGAAUGCAAGAGGAAUCAUACUUAUUUAACUCAAAAAAUUCUAAAAAUUUACCACACUGUAGAGAAUUUAUCAUUGCUUAUUCUGCAAAAAAAAUCAACAUUUUAUCACAUUCUUACUUUUCAAGGAAUUUUUGCAAUAGUGAUAAACUUUCUGUUUUGAAACAGCAACUCAUAAACUUGCAAAUUGUGCAUGGUGAAGGCUAUGAUUGACACUUUUAUCGAAAUAAAAGAUACAAAACCUUAUUCUAAAUAACAUCAAGCAAAUAUAAAUAAAAUAAAAUGACGCUCCAAGCAAAACACAUAUCAUGUGGUGAAUAAAAGUAUAGCCUCAAGUAAAGUUACCGAUGAAUGAAGACGAAAGAGGGGAUGCCAUCCGGGGCAUCCCCAAGAUUAGUUGCUUGGGUAUUCCUUGAAUAUUACCUUGAGGUGCCUUGGGAAUCCCCAAUAUUAGGAUCUUGCCUAUCCUUAUUCCCUAGUCCAUCGAAAUUUCACCCAAAACUUGAAAACUUCACAACACAAAACUCAACAGAAAAUCUUAUGAGCUCAGUUAGUAUAAGAAAAUAAAUCACCAAUUAGGUACUAUUGUGAACUCAUUCUAAAUUAAUAUUGGUGUUAUAUCUACUGUAUUCCAACAUCUCCAUGGCUCAUACCCUCUGAUACUACUCAUGGAUUCAUUAAAAUAAGCAAACAACACAUAGAAAACAUAAUAUGUCAAAAACAUAACAGUCUGUAGUAAUCUGGAAACUUUCCAUACAUCUGUAACUCCAAAAAUUCUAAAAAAUUAGGAUAGUCUAGAAAUUUGUAUAUCAAUCUUGUGUAAAAAAUCAGAUCUAAAGCACGUUCUAGUGAAUUUUCAAAUUUCCUAGACUGAGCGCAAAAGUUUCUGUUUUUGCACAGAAUCAAGUCAACUAUCAUACACACUAUCCAAAGGCUUUACUUGGCACUUUAUUGAAACAAAAGCUAUAGAACAUGAUUACUAAAAUAGCAUAAUCAUGUGAACACAAAAAACAGUAACUGUAAAAAUUGGGUUGUCUCCCAACAAGCACUUUUCUUUAAUGCCUUUUAGCUAGGCAUGAUGAUUUCAAUGAUGCUCACAUAAAAGAUAAGAAUUGAAACACAAAGAGAGCAUCAUGAAGCAUAUGACUAGCACAUUUAAGUCUAACCCACUUCCUAUGCAUAGGGAUUUUGUGAGCAAACAAUUUAUGGGAGCAAGAAUCAACUAGCAUAGGAAGGCAAAACAAGCAUAAUUCAAGAUUUUCAACACAUAGAGAGAAAACUUAAUAUUAUUGCAAUUCCUACAAGCAUAUAUUCCUCCCUCAUAGUAAUUUUCAGUAGCAUCAUGAAUUAAUUCAACAAUAUAACCAUCACAUAAAUCAUUCUUUUCAUGAUGCACAAGCAUAUAAUUUUUAUUACUCUCUACACAAGCAAAUUUCUUCUCAUUCGGAAUAGUGGGAGUAAACUCAACGAACUAACUAUCUGUAAUACUUUAUUCACAUAAUCAAUUUGAGCAUUAAAAUCAUGAUGACAAGUUUCAUGGAUAUCAUUACUCUUUAUAGCAUAAAUUUCAUCACAGUAAUCAUCAUAAAUAGGAGGCAUGCUAUCAUCAUAAUAUAUUUUCUCAUCAAAACUUGGGGGACUAAAAAUAUCAUCUUCAUCAAACAUAGCAUCCCCAAGCUUGUGGCUUUGCAUAUCAUUAGCAUCAUGGAUAUUCAAAGAAUUCAUACCAACAACAUUGCAAUCAUGCUCACCAUUCAACAAAUUAGUGCCAAACAUUUUAUUGCAUUCUUCUUCUAGCAAUUGAGCACAAUUAUCGGAAUCCUUAUUUUCACGAAAGACAUUAAAAAGAUGAAGCAUAUGUGGCAACCUCAAUUCCAUUUUUUUGUAUUUUUCUUUUAUAGAUUGAAUUAGUGAUGAAACAAGAAACUAAAAGAUUCAAUUGCAAUAUCUAAAGAUAUACCUUCAAGCACUAACCCCCUCAGCAACGGUGCCAGAAAAGAGCUUGAUGUUUACUACGCAACCUUCUUCUUGUAGACGUUGUUGGGCCUCCAAGUGCAGAGGUUUGUAGGACAGUAGCAAAUUUCCCUCAAGUGGAUGACCUAAGGUUUAUCAAUCCGUGGGAGGCUUAGGAUGAAGAUGGUCUCUCUCAAACAACCCUGCAACCAAAUAACAAAGAGUCUCUUGUGUCCCGAACACACCCAAUACAAUGGUAAAUUGUAUAGGUGCACUAGUUCGGCGAGGAGAUGGUGACAGGAGUGCAAUAUGGAUGGUAGAUAUAGGUUUUUGUAAUAUGAAAAUAUAGAAACAUCAUGGUAGCAAGUAACAAAAGUGAGCGAAAACGAUAUUGCAUGCUUAGAAACAAGGCCUAGGGUUCAUACUUUCACUAGUGCAAGUUCUCUUAACAAUGAUAACAUAAAUAGAUCAUAUAACAAUCCCUCAACAUGCAACAAAGAGUCAUUCCAAAGUCACAAAUAGCAGAGAACAAACGAAGAGACUAUUGUAGGGUAUGAACCACCUCAAAGUUAUUCUUUCUGCUCGAUCUAUUGGGCUAUUCCUGUAAGUGUCACAAACAGCCCUAGAGUUCAUACUAAAAUAACACCUUAAGACACACAUCAACCAAAACCCUAAUGUCAUCUAGAUACUCCAAUGUCACCACAAGUAUCCACGGGUUUGAUUAAAUGAUAUGCAUCACACAAUCUCAGAUUCAUCUAUUCAAACCAACAUAAAGAACUUCAAAGAGUGCCCCAAAGUUUCUACGAGAGAGUCAAGAUGAAAACGUGUGCCAACCCCUAUGCAUAAGUUCACAAGGUCACAGAACCCGCAAGUUGAUCACCAAAACAUACAUCAAGUGGAUCACGUGAAUAUCCCAUUGUCACCACAAAUAAGCACAUGCAAGACAUACAUCAAGUGUUCUCAAAUCCUUAAAGACUCAAUCCGAUAAGAUAACUUCAAAGGGAAAACUCAAUCCAUUACAAGAAGAUAGAGGGGGGAGAAACAUCAUAAGAUCCAACUAUAAUAGCAAAGCUUGCGGUACAUCAAGAUUGUGCCAAAUCAAGAACAUGAGAGAGAGAGAGAGAGAGAGAGAUCAAACACAUAGCUACUGGUACAUACCCUCGGCCCCGAGGGUGAACUACUCCCUCCCCGUCAUGGAGACUGCCGGGAUGAUGAAGAUGGACAUCGGUGAUGAUUUCCCCUUCCGGCAGGGUGCCGGAACAGGGUCCCGAUUGGUUUUUGGUGGCUACAGAGGAUUGCGGCAGCGGAACUCCCGAUCUAGGUUCUGUUCUGGAAGUUAGGGGAUAUAUAAGAGGUGUUGGCGUCGGGAACAAGUCAGGGGGGUCCACGAGGUAGGGGGCGCGCCCAAGGGGGUAGGGCGCAUCCUCCACCCUCGUGGUGGCCUCGGGACUCUUCUGGUCCAUCUUCGAUGCUCUGUGGGCUUCUUAUGGUCCAAAAAUUAUAGAUACGUUGGAGAGGUAUCAGUCACCUCAUCUUGCAAUUUUGCAACCUCUGCAUUAUGCUACACUUGAGUUGCCGGAGUCACUUCUGCUGCCAACAAAGUCCCAAAGCAUCCAGGAGUUUAGAUAAGACUUGAGCCGAUGGACGCGCAGAGCCGCUCGCACCAGUCGUUGCAGCAACAGUUGAACCGGAUGUCAUGGACGCCGCAGUUGACGAUUGUAACACUGGUUGUGUGCCGGCCAUGAAAAUUUCGGCUCUGCUCGGCGGCUCAUAAAGCUCUGGAAUACUUUCGCCGUUGGAAUAGCCCCCAAGCCCACUGUCUUGCAGUUGGUAGAUCGAUUCGGUUUCGCAGGUUGAGGACUCAUCACCUGAAUAGAUGGCUGUCUCUCCACCAGACAUUGAACCUUCAUCAAGAUCCGCCCCAUGAACAAAGCCAACAAAAGCAUGCUUCCGGCCCGGUUGAAACCUGGCGGGUCACGCACGCUGGGCCGUCUCAAUGACGUCGGUGCAGGAAUUUGGCUUAGGCUCUGAUUUGCCGAUCGUGUCGAUGAAGACGUGAAUUCCACUAUAGGGGAAGCAAUACCCUUACUCGAUUGAGUUGGCCUCGGCGCCCCAACCAACAGUAUCAAUGUAGAUCUUGCCCCGGUGACUCUUGGUCAUCCGGCCCAUGGCGUAUCACUUGAUCCCUGAGAAGCUUCCCUUCAAGAACUUGAAACCACCGUGCUCUGGCUCCACGGUGGGCGCCAACUGUCGUGGAUUUAACACGACAGAUGCCCUUGUGUAAGGACUUAGGUGUGGAGCCAUCGCAACGCAGGUUAGCUUGAGGGGGUUGAACGGGACAAAGGACAGAAGGAGUUUACCUAGGUUCGGCCCCUCUCAAUGAGGUAAAAGCCUACGUCCUGCUUCUAGUUGUAUUGCUUGAGUUUCGAUUACAAGGGAGCAAAUACGCUUGACCUACUUUCGAUUGAUUGUUUCUUGGCCUAAGCCGCCGCCGGGUCUCGCCUUUAUAUACACAGUCGAAUUCCGGCGGCUUACAAGAGUCUGAGCCGGAUCACACAACGUGACCAACCCGGUUUCUAAAUUGCCUUAUCUUAACAAAAAAGUCACCAUAUGGCGGUUCACACGUCCGAGUCUUGGGCUUUCACCAGGCCCACUCGUAUGAGCCGCCAUCUUCACACUUCAUCUUCUUAGGCCUACUUGGUCCUUCUUCAUGUUAAGCCACCAAUGGUGUAACCCGGCCCCUCCUGGGAGGGUCACACCUCGGGGCUAUAUCCUCAACAGGGGAGAUCCUGGUCGUCAUGAAGAUGCCAGUGAGCAAGUGCUAGAAGAUGAAGGAAUAACAAUAAGAGGACCAGUGAUGAGGUACCAAUUAAAGAGGUGACAGGACUUUACCAUAUACGUACUAGAUACUAGCUUCAAUUUUAUGUUUCUUUUGUAUACAGUUACAUCACUUGGUUACCUUGCUAUACCCUUAUGUUUACGAGAUUGGGAAAAAUUGAUGUCCCAUAAUGCACUUCACAAGGUUUCGCUGUUCGAUGAGGUUACGUUGUCCACGCGGACCACACCACUAAUCAUAAGCACCUAUUUUAGUCGCUCAACCUACAGCGGCAGGUACAUGUAACUUAACAGGUGUUAGUUAGGUUCAUGAGGUCCCCUGAAAUCUUCAAUGAUGUGGUAUGAUAUCUAUCUAUUUCUCAAUAACCAUUUGAGAACUUUUUGCAGUUAGUGAUAACAAGUCCAUUAGUUCAUGUAGUAGUUCAUAUACAAUUUUGGAGUAGAAAGAGUAUAAUUAUUGUAUGAUCUGUAUGUUCAUAAUCUUUCUGUGGAGUUAUAGAGGCUUAAAGCCUGACAUACAAGAGCAUGACAUUGCAGCCGACCUGUAUCCUCUACCUCGACGUUCCUGUCAAAGAGGAAAAUAUAGUCCAAAAUUCAUGAUUUCUCAUCAUUCUUUAAUUCCCGGUCCUUUUAUAGUUCAUCAUCUGUUGCUUGGGAAGCUUUUCUUUAUACUUCUAUUAUUGAAUUAAAUGUCCCAUGUUCAUCUUGCUUAAUUAUAAACUUUGGUCACCUGACAUAUUUUCAAGUCUGAUGCAUACAUCCAAGAAGUUUGCAACUUAAAAGUUUUUCCCCGCACUAAAUCUCUACUGAUACACUACCAAGUGUCUUUUCCUUCAAUAUAUGGUUAUGUUUAUCUUACAUUCAUGUAUUAAGUGUUGGGGAACGUGGUAAUUUCAAAAACUUUCCUACGAACAUGCAAGAUCUAUCUAGGUGCUGCAUAGCAAUGAGAGGGGAGACUGUGUCCACGUACCCUCAUAGACCGAAAAUGGAAGCGUUUAGUUAACACGGUUGAUGUAGUCGAACGUCUUCGCGAUCCAACCGAUCCAAGCACCAAAUGUACGGCACCUCCGCGUUCAGCACACGUUCAGCUCGAUGACAUCCCUCGUACUCUUGAUCCAGUUGAGGCCAAGGGAGAGUUCCGUCAGCACGACGACGAGGCGACGGUGAUGAUCAUGUUACCGGAGCAGGGCUUUGCCUAAGCACUACGGAGAUAUGAUCGAGGUGUGUAACUGUGGAGGGGGGCACCGUACAUGGAUAAAAGAUCAACUUGUGUGUCCACGGGGUGCCCCCUGCCCAUGUAUACAAAGGAGGGAGGAAUAGGAUGCCGGCCCUAGAGGGGGCGCGCCAAGGGGGGGAGUCCUACUUGGACUCCCGGUCCAAGUAGGAUCCCCCCUUUCCUAUUCCAACUAGGAGAAGGAAGGGAAGGAGGAAGAGGGGAGAAGGAAUGAGGGGGGAGCCGCCCCCUCCUAGUUCAAUUCGGACCAGCCCAUGGGGGGGCACGCGGCUACCCCUUGAGGCCCGUCUCUCCUUUCCCGUAUGGCCCAUUAAGGCCCAUUACUUCCCCCGGCGAAUUCCCGUAACUCUUCGGUACUCCGAAAAAUACCCAAAUCACUCGGAACCUUUCCGAUGUACGAAUAUAGCCUUCCAAUAUAUCGAUCUUUAUGUCUCAACCAUUUCGAGACUCCUCGUCACGUCCGUUAUCUCAUCUGGGACUCCGAACAAACUCCGGUCAUCAAAUCACAUAACUCAUAAUACAAAUCGUCAUCGAACAUUAAGCGUGCGGACCCUACGGGUUCGAGAACUAUGUACACAUGACCGAGACACAUCUCCGGUUAAUAACCAAUAGCGGAACCUGGAUUCUCAUAUUGGCUCCUACAUAUUCUACGAAGAUCUUUAUUGGUUAAACCGCAUAACAACAUACAUUGUUCCCUUUGUCAUCGGUAUGUUACUUGCCCGAGAUUCAAUCAUCGGUAUCAUCAUACCUAGUUCAAUCUCAUUACCGUCAAGUCUCUUUACUCGUUCUGUAAUGCUUCAUCCCGCAACUAACUCAUUAGUCAUAAUGCUUGCAAGGCUUAUAGUGAUGAGUAUUACCGAGAGGGCUUAGAGAUACCUCUCCGAAACAUGGAGUGACAAAUCCUAAUCUCGAUCUAUGCCAACCCAACAAACACCUUCAGAGACACCUGUAGAGCACCUUUAUAAUCACCCAUUUAUGUUGUGACGUUUGGUAGCACACAAAGUGUUCCUCCGGUAUUCGGGAGUUGUAUAUUCUCAUAGUCUGAGGAACAUGUAUAAGUCACGAAGAGAGCAGUAGCAAUGAAACUGUCACGAUCAUAAUGCUAAGCUAACGGAUGGGUCAUGUCCAUCACAUCAUUCUCCUAAUGAUGUGACCCCGUUCAUCAAAUGACAACACAUGUCUAUGGUUAGGAAACAUAACCAUCUUUGAUUAACGAGCUAGUCAAGUAGAGGCAUACUAGGGACACUAUGUUUUGUCUAUGUAUUCACACAUGUACUAAGUUUCCGGUCAAUACAAUUCUAGCAUGAAUAAUAAACAUUUAUCACGAAACAAGGAAAUAAAUAAUAACUUUAUUAUUGCCUCUAGAGCAUAUUUCCUUCAGUCUCCCACUUGCACUAGAGUCAAUAAUCUAGUUCACAUCGCCAUGUGAUUUAACAUCAAUAGUUCACAUCUGUAUGUGAUUAACACCCAUAGUUCACAUCGCCAUGUGGCCAACAACCAAAGGGUUUACUAGAGUCAAUAAUCUAGUUCACAUUGCUAUGUGAUUAACACCCAAAGAUUACUAAGGUGUGAUCAUGUUUUGCUUAUGAGAGAAGUUUAGUCAACGGGUCUAUCACAUUCAGAGCCAUAUGUAUUUUGCAAAUAUUCUAUGUCUACAAUGCUCUGUAUGGAGCUACUCUAGCUAAUUGCUCCCACUUUUAAUAUGUAUCCAGAUUGAGAAUUAGAGUCAUCUGGAUCGGUGUAAAAGCUUACAUCAACGUAACUCUUUACGAUGAACUCUUUAUCACCUCCAUAACCGAGAACCAUUUCCUUAGUUCUCAAUAAGGAUAAUUUUGACCGUUGUCCAGUGAUCUACUCCUACAUCACUAUUGUACCCCUUUGCCAAACUCAUGGCAAGCUGCACAUUAGGUCUGGUACACAGCAUAGCAUACUUUAUAGAACCUAUGACUGUGGCAUAGGGAAUGAUUUUCUCUUUCUAUCUUCUGCCGUGGUCGGGCUUUGAGUCUUACUCAACUUUACACCUUGUAAUACAGACAAGAACUCCUUCUUUGACUGAUCCAUUUUGAACUCUUUCAAAAACUUGUCAAGGUAUAUAUACAUUGAAAAAUCUUAUCAAGCGUCUUGAUCUAUCUUUAUAGAUCAUGAUGCCCAAUAUGUAAGCAGCUUCACUGAGGUCUUUCUUUGAAAAACUCUUAUUCAAGUAUCCCUUUAUGCUAUACAGAAAUUCUAUAUCAUUUCCAAUCAACAAUAUGUCAUCCACAUAUAAUAUUAGGAAUGCUACAGAGCUCCCACUCACUUUCUUGUAAAUACAGGCUUCUCCAAAAGUCUGUAUAAAACCAUAUGCUUUGAUCAACUCAUCAAAGCGUAUAUUUCAACUCUGAGAUGUUUGCACCAGUCUAUAGAUGGAUCGCUGGAGCUUGCACACCUUGUUAGUACCUUUAGGAUCAACAAAACCUUCUGAUUGCAUCAUAUACAACUCUUCUUUAAGAAAUAUCCAUUUAAGGAAUGCAGUUUUGACAUCCAUUUGCCAAAUUUCAUAAAAUAUGGCAACUCCGAACAUGAUUCAGACGGAUUUAAGCAUCGCUAUAGUUGAGAAAAUCUCAUUGUAGUCAACACCUCGAACAUGUCGAAAACCUUUUGCAACAAGUCAAGCUUUGUAAAUAGUAACACUAUUAUCAGUGUUCGUCUUCCUCUUGAAGAUCCAUUUAUUUAAUAUGGCUUGCCAAUCAUCGGGCAAGUCCACCAAAGUCCACACUUUGUUCUCAUACAUGGAUCCCAUCUCAGAUUUCAUAGCCUCAUGCCAUUUUGCGGAAUCUGGGCUCAUCAUCGCUUCCUCAUAGUUCGUAGGUUCAUCAUGGUAUAGUAACAUGACUUCUAGAGCAGGAUUAGCGUACCACUCUGGUGCGGACCGUACUCUGGAAGACCUACGAGGUUCUGUAGUAACUUGAUCUGAAGUUUCAUGACCAUCAUCAUUAGCUUCCUCAUAAAUUGGUGUAGAAAUCACUGGAACUAAUUUCUAUGAUGAACUACAUUCCAAUUCAAGAGAAGGUACAAUUACCUCAUCAAGAUCUACUUUCCUCCCACUCACUUCUUUCGAGAGAAACUCCUUCUCUAGAAAGGAUCCAUUUUUAGCGACGAAUAUCUUGCCUCCGGAUCUGUGAUAGAAGGUGUACCCAACAGUUUCCUUUGGGUAUCUAUGAAAACACACUUCUUCAAUUUGGUUUCGAGCUUAUCAGGUUGAAGCUUUUUCACAUAAGCAUCGCAGCCCCAAACUUUAAGAAACGACAACUUUGGUUUCUUGCCAAACCACAGUUCAUAAGGCAUCGUCUCAACGGAUUUUGAUGGUACCCUAUUUAAAGUGAAUGCAACUGUCUCUAAUGCAUAACCCCAAAACGAUAGUGGUAAACUGGUAAGAGACAUCAUAGAUCGCACCAUAUCUAAUUAAGUGCGGUCACGACGUUCGGACACACCAUUACGCUGAGGUGUUCCAGGUGGCGUGAGCUGUGAAACUUAGGGAUUGCAAUGGGUCGGGUUUGUGGCGGGUGGAGCUGGUCCAAAUCCAACCCAUGACCCAUCUUCCUACUCUCUGCCCAUCCACCAAAUUAUCCAUGGGCACAACUUGUGCCCAUGCCCAAACCCGCUGGAUACCCACAUACCCAUGGAGCUCCAUGGGCAUAGAAAAGUCAGCAUGAAGCCUUCCCAAAGAUCAAAUUAGCUCAUCAUCAUUCACUCACAAAUGACAACAGAAGCAACAUGCAUAAGUAGGCAACAAGUAAUACGAUUAUUCCUUAAGUCUGGCAUACCAGAGGUUGAUUCUAUAUCAUAUAGCUUAUGGCACUAGUUGCAUAUUGCCUACCAUUUCCCAUUGAUUUUCUCUUUCUACUGUCACUGGCAUAUGGCCCCACAUGUCAUGUGGAUAUCCACUGGAUAUCCAUGGAGCACAAAUUAUAAACGUGCCCAACCCGGCUAUUCAUGGGUAUCCAUAUCCACGGACCCAUGGGCAGAAAUGCGCUCCAUACCCUUGCCCAACCGGGUCGGGUAUCCAUGGGUAUCCAUAUCCAUGGAUAAACUUGCCAUCCCUACUGAAACUAUUCCACAUUGUUUUAAUGAAGGCCAAACUCGUAACUCAAAUAUUCUCCUCCACGAUCAGAUCGUAGAAACUUUAUUUUCUUGUUACGAUGAUUCUCCACUUGACUGAAAUUCUUUGAACUUUUCAAAUGUUUCAGACUUGUGUUUCAUUAAGUAGAUAUGCCCAUAUCUGCUUAAAUCAUCUGUGAAGGUCAGAAAAUAACUAUACCCACCACGAGCAUCAACACUCAUUGGACCGCAUAUAUCGGUAUGUAUUAUUUCCAAUAAGUCAGUAGCUUGUUCCAUUGUUCCGGAGAACGGAGUUUUAGUCAUCUUGCCCAUAAGGCAUGGUUCGCAAGUAUCAAAUGAUUCAUAAUCAAGUGAUUCCAAAAGUCCAUCUUUAUGGAGUUUCUUGAUGCGCUUUACACCGAUAUGACCCAAACGGCAGUUCCACAAAUAAGUUGCACUAUCAUUAUGAACUUUGUAUCUUUUGGCAUCAAUAUUAUGUGUAUCAUUAUGAUCGAGAUUCAAUAAACCAUCAACAUUGGGUGUAUGACCAUAGAAGGUUUUAUUCAUGUAAACAGAAUAACAAUUAUCCUCUGUCUUAAAUGAAUAACCAUAUUGCAAUAAACAUGAUCUAAUCAUAUUUAUGCUCAACGCAAACACCAAAUAACAUUUAUUUAGGCUCAACACUAAUCCUCAAAGUAUAGGGGUGUGCGAUGAUGAUCAUAUCAAUCUUGGAACUACUUCCAACACACAUCAUCACUUCAUCCUCAACUAGUCUCUAUUUAUUCUGCAACUCCUGUUUCGAGUUACUAAUCUUAGCAACUGAACAAGUAUCAAAUACCCAGGGAUUACCACGAGCACUAGUAAGGUACACAUCAAUAAUAUUUAUAUCAAAUAUACCUUUGUUCACUAUGCCAUCCUUCUUAUCCGCCAAAUAUUUGGGGCAGUUCCACUUCCAGUGACCAUUUCCUUUGCAGUAGAAGCACUCAGUUUCAUGCUUAGGUACAGCUUUGUGCUUCUUCACGGGACUGACAACUUGCUUUCCAUUCUUCUUGAAGUUCCCUUUCUUCCCUUUGCCCUUUUCUUGAAACUAGUGGUAUUGUUUAAUCAUCAAUACUUGAUGCUCUUUCUUGAUUUCUACCUUCGUCGAUUUCAGCAUCACGAACCGCUCAGGAAUAUUUUUUCGUCAUCCCUUGCAUACUAUAGUUCAUCACGAAGUUCCAGUAACUUGGUGAUGGUGACUAGAGAACUCUGCCAAUCACUAUCUUAUCUGGAAGAUUAACUCCCACUUGAUUCAAGUGAUUGUAGUACCCAGACAUUCUAAGCACAUUCUCACUAGUUGAGCAAUUCUCCUCCAUCUUUUAGGCAAAGUACUUGUCAGAGGUCUCAUACCUCUUGACACGGGCAUGAGUCUGAAAUACCAAUUUCAGCUCUUCGAACAUCUCAUAUGCUCUGUGAUGUUUCAAAAAUGUUUUUGAAGUCCCGGUUCUAAGCCGUAAAGCAUGGUGCACUAGAGUAUCAAGUAGUCAUCAUAUUGAGCUAGCCAAACGUUCAUAAUGUUUUUGUCUGCUCCUGCAAUAGGUCUGUCACCUAGCGGUGCAUCAAGGACAUAAUUAUUUUGUGCAGCAAUGAGGAUAAACCUCAGAUCACGGACCCAGUCCGCAUCAUUGCUACUAUCAUCGUUCAACUUAUUUUUCUCUAGGAACAUAUCAAAAAUAAAGGGAAUCUACAACGCGAGCUAUGGAUCUACAACAUAAUUUGCAAAAUACUAUCAGGACUAAGUUCAUGAUAAAUUAAAGUUCAGUUAAUCAUAUUACUUAAGAACUCCCACUUAGAUAGACAUCCCUCUAGUCAUCUACAUGAUCACGUGAUCCAAAUCAACUAAACCAUGUUCGGUCAUCACGUGAGAUGGAGUAGUUUUCAAUGGUGAACAUAACUAUGUUUAUCAUAUCUACUAUAUGAUUCACGCUCGACCCUUCGGUCUCCAGUGUUCCGAGGCCAUAUUUGCAUAUGCUAGGCUCGUCAAGUUUAACCCGAGUACUCUACGUGUGCAAAACUGGCUUGCACCCGUUGUAUGUGAACGUAGAGCCUAUCACACCCGAUCAUCAUGUGGUGUCUCAGCAUGAAGAACUGUCGCAACGGUGCAUACUCAGAGAGAACACUUAUACCUUGAAAUUUUAGUAAGGGAUCAUCUUAUAAUGCUACCGUCGAACUAAGCAAAAUAAGAUGCAUAAAAGAUAAACAUCACAUGCAAUCAAAAUAUGUGACAUGAUAUGGCCAUCAUCAUCUUGUGCCUUUGAUCUCCAUCUCCAAAGCAUCGUCAUGAUCUCCAUUGGCACCUGCUUGACACAUUGAUCUCCAUCGUAGUGUCGUGGUCGUCUCGCCAACUAUUGCUUCUACAACUAUCGCCAACUCAUAGUGAUAAAGUAAAGAAAUUACAUGGCGUUUGCAUUUCAUACAAUAAAGCGACAACCAUAAGGACCUUGCCAGUUGCCGAUAACUUUUACAAAACAUGAUCAUCUCAUACAAUAAUGUAUAUCACAUCAUGUCUUGACCAUAUCACAUCACAACAUGCCUUGCAAAAACAAAUUAGACGUCCUCUACUUUGUUUUUGCAAGUUUUACGUGGCUGCUAUGGGCUUCUAGCAAGAACGUUCUUACCUACGCAUCAAAACCACAAUGGUGAUUUAUCAAGUUUGGUGUUUUAACCUUCAACAAGGACCGGCCGCAGUCAAAUUCGAUUCAACUAAAGUUGGAGAAACAGACACCCGCCAGCCACCUUUAUGCAAAACAAGUUACAUGUCUGUCAGUGGAACCGGUCUCAUGAACGUGGUCAUGUAAGGUUGGUCCGAGCCCACUUCAUCCAACAAUACCGUCGAAUCAAAAUAAGAUGUUGGUGGUAAGAAGUAUGACGAUCACCACCCACAACUUUUCGUCUUCUACUCGUGCAUAUCAUCUACGCAUAGACCUGGCUUGGAUGCCACUCUUGGGAAACGUAGCAAGCAAUUUCAAAAAAAAUCCUACGCUCAUGCAAGAUCUAUCUAGGAGAUGCAUAGCAACAAGAGGGGGAGAGUGUGUCCACGUACCCUCGUAGACCGAAAGAGGAAGCGUUUGACAACUUGGUUGAUGUAGUCGAACUUCUUCUAGCUCCGACCGAUCAAGUACCGAACGUACAGCACCUCCGAGUUCUGCACACAUUCAGCGCGAUGAUGUCCCUUGCCUUCUUGAUCCAGCAAGGUGUAGAGGAAGUACAUGAGUUCUGUCAACACGACGGCGUGGUGACGGUGAUGGUGAAGUGAUACGCGCAGGGCUUCGACUAAGCACCACGAGAAUAUGACCGGAGGCAUAAACUGUGGAGGGGGGUGCCGCACAUGGCUAACGAUUAUUAUUGUGUGUUAUAGGCGGCCCCUUCCCCACAUAUAUAUAGGUGGGAGGGGAGGAGAGGCAGCCAAGGGGCACCCCAAGUAGGAUCUGAAUCCUACUUGGGGUGUCCCAAGUGGCGCUCCCUUUCCAUGUAUGCAUGAAGGGGAAGGAAAGAGGGGGUGAGGGAAGGAAGUGGGAGUCCUAAUCCACACUUUCCUUUCCCUUCCCCCAUUUCCUUCUCCUCCUCCUAUGGCCUUAUAGGGCGCACCAGCCCCUUGUCGGCUGGUGUGUUCCUUCACAAGGACCAUAUGGCCCAUAGGAUUGUCGGGGGCACCCGAAACACCUUUCGGUGACCCGAUAAGUACCCGAUAACCUCCGGAACACUUCCGGUGUCUGAAUACCAUCGUUCUAUAUAUCAAUCUUUACCUAUUGACCAUUUCGAGACUCAUUGUCAUGUCCAUGAUCUCACCAGGACUCCAAACAACAUUCGGUCACCAAAUCACAUAACUCAUAUAAUACAAUAUCGUCAUCGAACGUUAAGCGUGCGGGCCCUACGGGUUCAAGUACUAUGUAGACAAGAGCGAGACACCUCUCUGGUCAAUAACCAAUAGCGGGACCUAGAUGCUCAUAUUGGCUCCGACAUAUUCUACGAAGAUCUUUAUCGGUCGAACCGUUAUGACAACAUACGUUAUUCCCUUUGUCAACGGUAUGUUACUUGCCCGAGAUUCGAUCGUCGGUAUCUACAUACCUAGUUCAAUCUCGUUACCGGCAAGUCUCUUUACUCGUUCCAUAAUACAUCAUCUUGUAACUAACUCAUUAGUCACUUUGCUUGCAAGGCUUGUUAUGAUGUGCAUUACCGAGAGGGCCGGAGAUACCUCUCCGAUACUCGGAGUGACAAAUCCUAAUCUCGAUUUAUGCCAACCCAACAAACACCUUUGGAGAUACCUGUAGAGCAUCUUUAUAAUCACCCAGUUACGUUGUGACGUUUGAUAGCACACAAGGUAUUCCUCCAGUAUCCGGGAGUUGCAUAAUUUCAUAGUCGAAGGAAUAUGUAUUUGACAUGAAAAAAGCAAUAGCAAUAAAACUGAACGAUCAAUAUGCUAAGCUAACGGAUGGGUCUUGUACAUCACAUCAUUCUCCUAAUGAUGUGAUCCCGUUCAUCAAAUGACAAUACAUGUCUAUGGUUCGGAAACUUAACCAUCUUUGAUUAACGAGCUAGUCUAGUAGAGGCUUACUAGGGAUACAGUGUUUUUUCUAUGUAUCCGCACAUGUAUCAAGUUUCCGGUUAAUACAAUUCUAACAUGAAUAAUAAACAUUUAUCAUGAUAUAAGGAAAUAUAAAAUAACAACUUUAUUAUUACCUCUAGGGCAUAUUUCCUUCAAAACUCAUCUACAAUGUUCAAUUUAAACUAGGCUAUAAAAACUACAAACAACAUGUACCAAAUUCAUGUAAAAAAUGUGAUGUUGAAGCAAUACAUACCUUGAGGACGUUUUGUCAAACACCUUGCGAGCGCCGAGUGGUAAAGGGAGGCUGGGCGCUGUUCGUCGGAGGACUGCUGCGUGCGAGGGGCGGUGGUGACUAGAGGGAGAUAGAGGAAGCAGCGGUAGCGCGGGGAUAGGCCGGGGAAGCGCUAAAACGGUGGCCGGAAGAAAUGGGGUGCCAUGGGUGGCGGCAGCGCCAGCGGCUGGAUGGGGUAGGUGGAGUUGCAAGCGGGCGCUCGAGUGUCCAACGCGCGGGAGCGAGCGCAGCAAAUAAGUGGCGUGCGAUGGCAUUUCGGCCCGCGCGCUGAACUAGUUUUUGCGUCUCCGCUGGAGCGCCCGGAGCGGUAGCGCGCGUGUAAAACGCACUGAUUUUUUAGUGCAGCGCUUAUGUAAUGCCCCGGAUCCGAUGCGCCAGGUGUCUGCUAGUUAUUUGUCGGCGUUGCCAUGUCAUUUGCUUGCUUGUUGCAUUUUAUCAUGUCAUCAUGUGCAUCUCAUUUUGCAUACGUGUUCGUCUCAUGCAUCCGAGCAUUUUCCCCGUUGUCUGUUUUCCAAUCCGACACUCCUAUGUCAUCCGGCGUUCCCCUUUUGUCUCCUAUUGUGAGAGGGUGUUAAACGUUCUCGGAAUGGACCGAGUCUUGCCAAGCGGCCUUGGUAUACCACCGGUAGACCGCCUGUCAAGUUUCGUGCCAUUUGGAGGUCGUUUGAUACUCCUACGGUUAACCGCCUAGCCCGCAAAGCCCCUUUUGUCUUGCAGACCAAACCCCCUCCAACUAGCCCAAAACCCAUCCAAACCCCUUCCAUGCUCUCGGUCGUUCGAUCACGAUCGUGUGGGCGAAAACCGCACCCCAUUUGGAGUCUCCUAGCUCCCUCUACCUACAAAUAGGUGUCUCCCCCUGAAUUUUCGCGCAGAUGAACCCUAGCCUCUUCCCCUGCGCGCGCCGGACAUGUCCGCCCGGUGGCCGGACACGUCCACCGCCGCCUCCACCUCACUCCGGCCAAUCGCGGCCUGCCACGUCAUCNNNNNNNNNNNNNNNNNNNNNNNNNNNNNNNNNNNNNNNNNNNNNNNNNNNNNNNNNNNNNNNNNNNNNNNNNNNNNNNNNNNNNNNNNNNNNNNNNNNNNNNNNNNNNNNNNNNNNNNNNNNNNNNNNNNNNNNNNNNNNNNNNNNNNNNNNNNNNNNNNNNNNNNNNNNNNNNNNNNNNNNNNNNNNNNNNNNNNNNNNNNNNNNNNNNNNNNNNNNNNNNNNNNNNNNNNNNNNNNNNNNNNNNNNNNNNNNNNNNNNNNNNNNNNNNNNNNNNNNNNNNNNNNNNNNNNNNNNNNNNNNNNNNNNNNNNNNNNNNNNNNNNNNNNNNNNNNNNNNNNNNNNNNNNNNNNNNNNNNNNNNNNNNNNNNNNNNNNNNNNNNNNNNNNNNNNNNNNNNNNNNNNNNNNNNNNNNNNNNNNNNNNNNNNNNNNNNNNNNNNNCGACCAGCUCCCUCCGCAGCCCCGGCCUCCCUCCGCCUCGGGCCCGCCUCUGCCGCCCUCGCCGCCCAGCUCCUCUCGCCGGAGCCGCAGCUCGCCUCCCCGCCGCCUCUUCCUCGCCUCGGCUAGGACCGGCCCACCAUCGUCCGGAUCGGAGGGGCCCUGCCGCGCCUCGUCGCGCCCCGCCUCCGCCCUUCCCCGUCGACGCCGACCACCUCCUACUCCUCCCCGCGCCGCUGGGAGCUCGCCGGAGUUCGCCCUCGCCGGAGUUCGCCGGAUCCAGGAAGCUGUACCAGAUCCACCAAGCCCCCGAUCCAAACGCCCCCGUCCCGGAUCGCCCCGUCCAGCUUUUCCCCGAGGUGAUUUUUUGGCCAAGUCCCCGAAAUAUUUUGCAUAAUGUUGCCAUGUUCAUCGCAUCAUAAAUUCAUACAUACUGCUCCGUUUCGUGCGUGUAAUAUGUCAAAUUGUUCGCCUCAACGAGUACUUCAACUCUUUCCAUUGCAUCAUGUUCAUUUGAGCUCAUCUUGAUGCCUGAAUCAUCGUUGCAAGAGUGAUAUAUGAUGUUGUCUGCUGUCUGUUAACAGAACAUGCUCAUUUGUCAUUUUUGCCAUGAUUGAUGUAUGCAUCCUAUGAGGUUGAUGUCUACAUGUGUUUUGAACUAUGUCAUGUCUUCUUUAUAGAGGUACUUACCAUGUAUUUUUGUGAUGAAUGUGGUGACUAGCACAAUCAUCUAAACUAGGCUUCGUGAUGAUGCUGAUUUUAGUCCCUGUUCUGUUGUUAUUUCGAUGCCAUGUAAACAUGUUGCUACAGAGAGAUCCAUGCUUAUUUUGAGAUACUUCAGUAAGGAUGUUUUGAACAUGUGCUUAUGAUCUAUCCAUUAAUGCCCUUGGUUACAAUUAUGGAGUAGUCUAGCAUGUCAUUUUCGUGCUCUACUUUUGCUAUAAAAUGUUUCCUGGCAGAUUGUUUACAUGUCAUUCAAUUUUGACAAUGUUGUUGUAGUUGAUCCUUGCAUGCUAUGAACUUGUUCUUACCUUGUUUAGUUUCAUAAACAUGUCUUCUUGCUGAUUCUAUGCUUAUCUUGUUAUUCAAUGACUUGUGGUGAGUGAAUCAAGCUUGUUAAGUAGUGUACUCGCUGUUGCCGUUUUGCUAGGUUGAAUCUGUUAUUUUGUGAUGCUAUGUAAACCUGCUGCUACAAGUCAUUCUAUGCAUAUGCUGGAGAUGUUCACUAAGGGUAUUUUGUUAUACAUGUCAUGCUCUAUCCAUCCAUGCCCCUGGUUGCAUUUAUGGCCUGCUGUAGCUUGUUGUAAUCUUGCUCCAAAGUUGCUAAAUAAUGUUGUUGUCAGCCUGUUAACAUUAAGUUCAGUUGUUGCCAUGAUUGUUGUUAGUGAUACAUCCACCCUAUGAACUUGCUCUUGCCAUUCCUAGCUUCAUAAAUAUGUCUUCUUACUGUUGGUUGCCUUGCCAUGCCAUGUUUUGCUUGGUGGUGAGUGGUACAAGCUCGCCAACAUGCCUACUUAUUGUUGUUCCUGCCAUGUAUGAAUCUGUAUUAUAACUUGCUAUGUUUACAUGGGUGCCAUCAUAUCUUCUGAUCCUUUUUUGGUUCAUGGUCAGUAAGGGCCUUUUGUUCUAUGCAUUUAGUAGGUUCAUGCCAUGCCUUUGUUUGCCAUGACAAGUUCCUGUAACAUGUUGUUUGAUAGCUCUAAACAUUGCAACCUGAUGUUAUUUUCUGCAAAGUCUGAACUAUUAUUAUUUGCAAUCUUGCCAUGUGUGUUUGAGCAUGUUCUAGUGAUUUCUGGAGAUAGCUCAGUGUUCAUGUUUUGUUAUGAUUUACCUGUAAAUCAUGCUCAUGCCUUUUGUUUUCUUGUUGGGGUCCUGUAGCAUGUUGUUUUGAUGCUUGUAAUAUGCCUAGUUGCUGUUUUGGACAGAUUGUUGCUAUAACUUGUAUAGAGUGUGUGUUGAACCGUUGCUCCGUUUUGAGUGUGCUCUAUAUGAAACUUUCUUGAAUUUGCAUGUAGCUUCAUAUUAUCAUGUUGCAUCCUUGUUUUGGAGUGUUUGCUUGAUGUUUGUAUGCAUUUUGCAUCAAUGCCAUGUUUAUCUUGUUUUGCCCAUAUCUUCUAGGUCGUAGCUCCGAACUAAAUGAACCUUAUAUGUAACUUGACUAGAAUCUCGUGUAGAUCAUCUUGGUGCAUCUUAACUUGCUGUUUAACAACUUGAACAUAAGGUUAAUUCAGAUCUGGACCAAUUUCGAAAUUUGCAUAUGAGGACUUACCGGGUUAGUUCUAUGUUGCUUCCGGCCUCAUUUAAACUUGCCUUGAUGUGUUCUCUUGUAUGCAUCAUCUCUUGCCAUGAGUGGCUUCAUGUAGUCUUGUCUUGUAUCAUACUUGUUUGUGCAUCAUGACAUGUUCAUGUGUGGUGUGUUUACUAUGUUGUGUGCUUCUUUUCGAUAGUUCCUGUUUCUGUUGCGAUUGUGAGGAUUCAUUCGUCUACGCUUGGCUCAUCUUCGUGGCUUCAUCUUCUGGACUUGUUCUUCUUCCUAGCGGGAUUUCAGGCAAGAUGACCGCUACCCUGGAUCUCACUACUAUCAUUGCUAUGCUAGUUGCUUCGUUCUAUCGCUAUGCUGCGCUACCUACCGUUUACUCUUCAAGCCAUCCCAAAUUGCCAUGAACCCCUAACCUUUGACACCCUUCCUAGCAAACCGUUGUUUGGCUAUGUUACCGCUUUGCUCAGCCCCUCUUAUAGCGUUGUUAGUUGCAUGUGAAGUUGAAGAUUGCUCCUUGGUGGACAGGAUUAUGUUUGGGAUAUCACAAUAUCUCUUAUUUAAUUGAUGCAUCUAUAUACUUGGUAAAGGGUGGAAGGCUCGGCCUUAUGCCUGGUGUUUUGUUCCACUCUUGCCGCCCCUAGUUUCCGUCAUAUCGGUGUUAUGUUCCCGGAUUUUGCGUUCCUUACGCUGUUGGGUGAUUUAUGAGACCCCCUUGACAGUUCGCUUUGAAUAAAACUCCUCCAGCAAGGCCCAACCUUGGUUUUACCAUUUGCCUCACCUAGCCUUUUUUCCCCUUGGGAGUCGCGCUCUCGAGGGUCAUAUUUAUUUAACCCCCCCCCCUCCCCCGGGCCAGUGCUCGUCAUGAGUGUUGGUCCAAUCUGUCAGCCGCCAGUGGCCACCAGGGGCAACUCUGGGCUGGCCUACCGGAAGUUUGGACAAUCCGGUGUGCCCUGAGAACGAGAUAUGUGCAGCUCCUAUCAGAAUUUGUCGGCACAUUCGGGCGGCUUUGCUGGUCUUGUUUUACCAUUGUCGAAAUGUCUUGUAAACCGGGAUUCCGAGUCUGAUCGGGUCUUCCUGGGAGAAGGUAUAUCCUUCGUUGAUCGUGAGAGUUUAUCAUGGGCUAAGUUGGGACACCCCUGCAGGGUAUAAUCUUUCGAAAGUCGUGCCCGCGGUUAUGCGGCAGAUGGGAAUUUGUUAAUGUCCGGUUGUAGAUAACUUGACACCAGAUCCAAAUUAAAACGCAUCAACCGCGUGUGUAGCCGUGAUGGUCUCUUUUCGGUGGAGCCCGGGAAGUGAACACGGUUUUGGGUUAUGUUUGACGUAAGCAGGAGUUCAGGAUCACUUCUUGAUCAUUGCUAGUUGACGACCGUUCCGCUUGCUCUCUUCUCGCUCUUAUUUGCGUAUGUUAGCCACCAUAUAUGCUUAGUCGCUGCUGCAGCCUCACCACUUUACCCCUUCCUUUCCCUUUAAGCUUUGCUAGUCUUGAUACCCAUGGUAAUGGGAUUGCUGAGUCCUCGUGGCUCACAGAUUACUACAAUAACAAUUGCAGGUACAGGUUAUGCGAUGAUCAUGAUGCGAGAGCGACGUUUGCUUGUUUGGAGUUCUUCUUCUGCUUCUUCUUCGAUCAGGGGAUAGGUUCCAGGUCGGCAGCCUGGGCUAGCAGGGUGGAUGUCGUUUGAGUUUUUGUUUGUGUUUCAUCCGUAGUCAGAUGUUGUUCUUAUGCAUAAUGAUGUUGUAUUCGUGUGGCAUUGUAUGCCUUUUGUAUGUAUCCCCAUCUAUUAUGUAAUGUUGAUGUAAUAAUAUCCACCUUGCAAAAGUGUUUCAAUAUGCGGUUCUAUCCUUGGUGGGACCUUCGAGUCUCUUUAGGAUAGUAUCGCAUAUUGGGCAUGACAGCUUAUAUAGCGCGUCUAUUGGAGAUGCUCUUAGUGGGGAGGUGGGGCGUGGGAGCUCUUUAUUUUGGAGGGAUCGAGAGGAGUGGGAACGAUGGGCUCCAGGGGUUCGGCAAACGGGGCCCUUAUAGACGCGAGGGGUACCACAAUAUUAUUAUUAUUAUUUAUAUAUAUAUAUAUAUAUAUAUAUAUUGUUGGAACAUUCUAAAGAGACUUUGCAGAAUGAUUACCUCACUGCAAUUGCUUCAUUGAUUUGACAAGCUUCCAAUAAUUUGCAUGACUGAAAGUAUAAAACUAACAUUUAAGUAUGAUGACAGUCACUUAUACAUUUUCCAACUGUUGUUUGCCUGACCUCACAAACAUACUAAUUCAGUGAUUAGUUCAUUUUCCUUUUGUCUCUUAUCUACAUUCUAAGAAUGCACCUCAUGAACGUUUACAAUAUGGCAUACUAAUAUCCCGCAGCAACGCGCGGGGUAUCAUCUAGUUUAGCCAGUACUAUAAGACCUAACAUUUCUUUUGUUGUUAUCAAACUGAGCCGAUUUUUUUGAAAACCGGGAGAUGAUCAUUGGAAAGCUUUAGAGAGAGUUAUGCGUUAUUUGAAAGGCACUGCGAAUUAUGGAAUUCACUACACUAAGUACCCAAAGGUGCUUGAAGGGUAUAAUGACUCAAACUGGAUCUUAGAUGCUGAUGAGAUAAAGUCCAUGAGCGGAUAUGUAUUCACUCUGGAGGUGGCGUUGUUUCUUGGAAGUCUUGCAAGCAAACCAGCUUAGUAAGGUCAACAAUGGAAGCAGAACUCACAACACUAGAUACACCUACGGUCAAAGCAGAUUGGCUUCGUCGGCUCUUGAAUGACUUGCCAGUUGUUGAGAAAACUCUACCAGGUAUACUUAUGAACUGCGACAAUCAAACUAUGAUCACGAAAAUGAGCAGCUCAAAGGAUAACAUGUUCAGAGAAGGUUAGAGUCUGUCAGAAAAAUGAGAAAAUUCGGAGUUAUUGUAUUGGAUUAUAUCCAAACAUCGAAAAAUCUGGCAGAUUCUUUUACUAAGGGUCUAUCACGUAAUGUGAUAGAUAAUGCAUCGAAGGAGAUGGGUAUGAGACCCAUAAUAUAAGUUGUUCAUAGUGGUAACCUAGUCUAUGUGGUCGAGUUAGAAACACCAUGAAGAAUCCUCUUUAAGCUAAGAAUAUAAUCAUCUUCUGUUUGUGACCUGUCAUAGAUUUAAGCUGUAUACUUUACAAAACGCCAGAAUUAUCUUAUGGAAGCAUAACAUUGCAGUUUAAAAUAAUGCCUAGGAGUUUUUUUUAGAAAAGGAGGAUGACCCCCGGCCUCUGCAUCUGGGCGAUGCAUACGGUCACUUUAUUAAUUAUUCUCACAAGACCUUACAAAGUAAUACCACAGUAAUCCUAAAGCCGCCCUCUAAGCAACAAACUGUCGCUACACCUAUCCAGUUGAUGAAGGGGCUCAGAUAGACUGGGCCUAAUACCAAACAAACAUCGCAGCCAAACCUAACAUCUAAGACCUGAGGACCCAUCCAGGACGCCUGCCGGGCAUGGGUCUCGCCGGUCCGGCGUGCUCUCAGAGGCCGCUGCCGCAAACUGCCACCGCUCCAUUUUCAGAACUGUACUGAUGCAUCAACCUCGCUAGGUGUAGCUAUCAUCGACGCCACCACGGCGCCCAACGACACCUCCUCCCUGUGCGCAAACAGCUGAGCACGUUGUGGUCGCCACUGAUACACCUCAGCACCAUGCUGUCAAGUACCACCAGCCGACACAGCUUGAAGUCUUUGGAGAAUCUGUCAUGCGUACCACCUGCCGAUCAGGCAUGACAAAGCGUAGGUUAGACAUGACUUGACAUCUCCACCGAAGCUCCGUGCAAGGCGAAGCCGCUCCACCUCCUGCCUCUGACUUCCAGCGCUGCUCCACAAACAAUGCUCCCAAGAGAGAAACGACACCGCAGUGUCGCCAUCGUCCGAUCUGGAACACCAGAUCCUAGGGUUUCCUCCAGAGCAGCACGAGUGGGUCGACAGUAGUUACACGACGAUGCCUCCAUCAAGGAAACGGCGUAGAAUGCCGCCAUCACCUUCCAACGGCUCGGUUUUCAGCGGCAACCAUGUUUCCCCAACUCGCAGCCGGGACUAGAUGAUGGAUCCCGAGAUCCGAUCACCAAGCCUCUAGCCGGCCAUCUCUGACGAAGAAGAUGACCACCACCAUUGGCCAGCGAGACGACGCCAGAUGAAGUAGGGCGCUGCCAGCGUGCGUCCUGGCCAGCACCACCAGCGCUCGGCCUGUCCCGGACCACGCCUCAUGACCGAGGGCAACGACAAGCGCUGCCCCGGCGAGGACGCAGACCGGAAGCCCAGAUCUGGUCCACCCGCGCGCUGCCACGUGGCCACCACCAAGCGCCGUUCAGGGACAGCCCCGCCGCCGUGAGGGACGCCGCCCCACGGGCAGCAGGCGCCGACCACCGGCGGAACUCCGCCGCGCGCCACCAGCCACCGCGAGAUCUUCGCGAGAACGACGAGGACCCCCCGCCGCCACCUUCCCUGGGGACCACGCGGGCUUCGCCUGUGUCCCCUCCGGGGGCGGCGAAGCGGGGGAGGAGCGGGAAGGGGCGGCUGGCGGCGAGGUUAGGGUUUUCCCCAUGCGCCAGAGGCGACGCGCGGGGGACGUCUCUCGUCUCGUCUCAUCUCUACUUGCCUGUAAGAAAUGAUCCCUAGGAGUACAUUCAUAAGAGCUCACAUACCAUGUGAUCUUCACAUGGAUAGCCAAAAGCUGCUGCUCUUUGUCUUGCACAGACCAAACGGAUGGGAAGAAGGUUCACAACGUGGAACAAUAUCAUCCAGAGAACUAUUGUUUCUCCAUGAGUGAGCUGUGCAUGAGUUAAAGACAAGUGAAAGAAUCGACAAACUAACUACAAAUAAAUUCCUGGCCAUCAGGUGAUGUAGAAUCAUAUGUUACUAUGAUUCUGAUAGUUUCUGCAAGUGGUACAAUUUUCUGCGGAAGAGCAAGAAUAGUGUUGACACAAAUUGCAGCCUCUCUUUUCAGAGAACGGCGCUGCUUUUGGGUCGCUGGUUACUGGCAUAAAUACUGGAGGAACGGUCUCCAAGUAAGAAACGGUGUCCCGUCUUGAACCGUAACUUAACAAAAUUACCGAAAAGAGUACGUAUUAGAUUGCUGUCUUUGCUUGUGUGAAAUCAAGCUUGACAGAGGCACGGACAGGCCACACAAUUGCAGGAAAAAAAACUGGAUCCUUAUUCUGUCAAAAAGUGUAGAUUGCACGUGCAUAAGCAAGGUAGCUAAGUAAGUACUCCCUCCGCCCCAAAAUAAAUGUCUUAACCUUAAUAAAAUUUUAUAUUAAAAUUAAUAUAAAGUUAAGACACUUAUUUUGAAAUCGAAAGAGUAGAACAGAAGAACGAUUGGCGUAAAAGGUAAAACUAAUCAUGCCAUCUUGAUGAUCAGAGAUGAAGACCCCUAUGCUUCACUUCACACCAAUUGUGUGAGUACUAACAAUGCUUUUGUUCCUCAUUAUUAUUUCCUUUCUCCACCGCUGGGCCACUUGUGCGUUUCUCUUCUUAUAUUCCACUAACGAAAAUCAGCAGUCUUGCUCCUUUUUCCUCAUUUUUUUAAGUGCAAUGUACGACUCCAUUCCACUACAAAUAUUUUCUAAGUGGGAACUUGUUGCAUUUUAUUAAAUCACCGAAAUUCCAAGUUUACCACCGACUAUCCGAAACCAUGUUUUACACGACUUAUUCAUACAAUCUUCCUUAACUACAAUAUGUACAGUGCCAUUAGCAAAACGACACAUCCAACCGACUUAGCCUCUCCAACUACCAAUAUUAGGCCAUCUCCAAAGCGGACCUUCAAAUCACCCACAUACGUCUGGACCGCAAGGUCUGGACGUGGUUUGUCAUUCAAUGCAGGCAUAUAUCGAUCCGCCGAGCGGUUCAGACGUAUUUUUCCAGCAAACUCGAGACAAACAUAGAGGGCUUUGCAGGAGUCCGGACAAUAUCCACGUAGGAAUCGACACCCCUGGCCCAUCCAAAACCCCUCCCGAACACCACGCCUCCAUCCUCCCCAUUUUCUCUCCUUUCUCUCCCGCCUUUGCCGCCGCUCCACCACCCCGGCCGCCAUGCCACACCCCUUCCGGAACUCUACGUCUCCGUCACCUCGAGUGUUCCAGCCGGGCUCCAUCCCGUUUCUCCUCCGUCGUCAUUCAACUCCUCCCCUCCGACUGCCUCGCCAGGUAGCAUCCGCUAUUGCUAUACUCAACAUGCAUGACAACUGUUCGAUGAAUUGCUAGAGCUAAAAAGUCGUCCCUUCUUCUUUCAAGCAAUGGAUUCCGUUUUGGAGUACAUAUACGAGCACUAUGUUGAGUUGUUCGAUGGUUCGUUCAACGAGGAGGGCUGCCCGGAUGAGAUGCCGAUGAUGCAAGCAGUCUUUGAAGACGCGGAGCGUGCAGAGGAGCAUGUUCUCAAUUUGAAGGGAGCGAUCAAGGGUCAUCGAAUACUCAACCGCAACAGGGCGCCCGACCAUUUGACACCGAUGAAUGACUACUUUGCCCCGGAUGCACUCUUCGCUGACCAUUUUUGCCGGCGUUUUCAUAUGUGCAAGAUUGUCUUCGAUAGUUUGUACCAUGGCCCCGAUCCUAUGAUGACUAUUUCAUCUUAAAGAAGGGCACCGUGGGAACGAUUGGGUUCUCUGGUUGCCAGAAGUGCACGGCCGUACUCCGGAUGCUUGCAUAUGGCACGACCACUGAUUUGUGGGGCGAGUACCUACGGAUGUCUGAGAGCAUAUGCAGAGAUGUCGUGGUCAGGUUUGCAACUACUAUGGUUGAGGUGUUUGGACCUCCAUACCUGAGAGAACCAACUGUGGCAGACACUGAGAGGCUCUUGGCAAUCUCGGAAGCAAGAAGGUGGCCAUGUUUCCUUGGAUCUCUGCAUGCAUUGGAAAUGGAAGAACCACCUGAAGGCUUUACAAGGGCAAUAUCACGGUCAUGUUAAGAAGCCCACCAUCAUUCUUGAGGCAGUUGCAUCACAUAAUCUUUGGAUUUGGCACACUUUUUUUGGCAUGCCCGGUCUCACAAUGACAUCAAUGUGCCAAAGCGAUCAUCAUUGUUUGCGAGGCUGAUUGAAAGAAAAACUCCUCCUUGCUAAUAUACUGUCAAUGGACAUCAGUACAACAUGAGCUACUAUGUUGUGGCUGUAUCUAUCCUUCGUGGGCUACCUUUUUCAACACCAUCCUUAACCUAGUUUUCUAGAAAAAGUCUCAUUUUGCCCAAAGACAAGAAGCAGCUAGAAAUGAUAUCCAGAGGGUAUUUGGAGUUCUGCAGGUCCGUUUUGCAAUUGUUCGUGGACCUGCUAAACAAUGGAUCUAGAGACCUUGUGGGAGGUUAUGACAUGUUGUGUGAUCAUGCACAAUAUGAUCGUCGAGGAUGCUGCCACGUCUCUAGAAUUUAAGAAAAUGGUUGAUCCUAUCGAACUUCCAAACCAGAAUCCGAGUACAUUUGAAGGCUUUAUUCAAAUGCAUCAACAAAUUCGGCAUCGAGCAACUCACGAGCAGCUGAAGGAAGAUCUAUUGAGCAUCUUCGACGGUCAAAGGCCUAUGUAUGUGGCUAUUUAAACAUGCGGACUUUCAGAAAAAAAAUAGAGGCCGGAUGUAUGCGGGCAGCGUUGGAUGGUCGGCUCCUGCAUCCUUGUCCGCGGACUGGUCUUCCUCUGUUCGCGGAUAAAUGCGGGAGGAAAUUUGCGGGUCACUGUUGGAGAUGUCCUUAUUGAUCUAAGUGGUUGAGACCGAAAGAAACUAUUUGAACAUUUUUGGAUGAGAAAAAUGAUCUCAUCUACCUGUGUUAUUGAUCUAAGUGGUUGAGAAGAAAAACAUAUAGGAACAUUUUCGGAUGAGAAAAAUGAUCUCACCUAGACGGGGACCAUUAUCUCUGAUGAACAAAUAUCAUUAUUAUUUCUGAAGUAAAAAUAGCAACCGUAUUGUAGCAAUUGAAACCGGGUUGCGUUUUCAGCACAUGACCCACCACUUCUAUCUGUCCUCUGAAACGCAUCUUCUCCUUCCUUCCCUAUAAAUACACGAGUGCCACUUCCUCAGGAAAACCAGAGUGAUACUUCCGUUUGACAACCUAACACACAACAGAUACUCUUUCAGCCAGGAGACACAGAUCUCACGCCCUCUCGAGGCACUGCAAGCUCGGCAACGAUGAUCGGCGAAAUGGACGCGGACAUGGUCGUAGGAUACUUCGGCGGCAAGAGCAUCCUCAUCACCGGCUCAACUGGGUUCUUAGGAAAAGGUACGUGUUCAUGCACGGCUAAUCGUUCAGGAUGUGCGCUGCGUUUUAGCUGAUCAUCUCAGAGGGCCAUACGCUGGUUGUUCUGAUCUGAGGGCAGUUCUCGUGGAGAAGAUACUCAGGGUGCAGCCUGAUGUCAAGAAGCUCUUCCUCUUGGUUCGCGCCCCCGACGUCGAAUCCGCAAAGCUUCGGAUUCAGACUGAGGUGAAGUGUUUCAUUCUGGCCUCUCUCUCUUUGAUUUCGAUAACAUGUCUUGUAAGUUGUAACUCCCCCGCGUCUGAACUUUCGUCGCCAUUUUAAUUUGUUCCGGACAAUACAAUCCUUGCUUACUUUCUGAACUUCUCUCUGCCAUUCAAGAACAGAGGGAACUUCAGAAAUAUAGGUGAUGUCAAAACUCGUACUGCACGGAGAGAAGUUCAGUAUUAUUGUGUGCACGUGCGCAAAUAUAGGUGAUGUCAAAACUCGUACUGCACGGAACUCAUGCACACCUUAUGCAUUUCUCGAAGCUUUGCUCACAAAAGAUUCAUGCGAGUUCCCUGCCCAUUUGGUUUAAAGUAGAUAGGCACUUGAGUAAAGAAAAGAGAGUCUUGACUUCUUUUUCGAAAAGGAGGGAAACCCCCCGGGCUCAGCAACAAAAAUAAUUUUGCUGAAAGUUGUUUGUUGUCUUGAUCAAUAAUUCCAUAUCAAAGACUGUUUUCUACAAAAUGUAUUUUCUGCAAAUCAAUACCACAGUUAUUUGUUUGCUAGAUAUAUCAAGCAAUUCGUUUACUUCAAUCAGCCAUACACCAAUAUUCAGGUCAGCAUAAAUGCAUCUUGCUGUCCACCGAUAGAAGUAGGGGUCAUGAAUGAAUCAUGUGAAGACAAUUAAAUUUACUCCACCCAUUCACUCACGAGAUGGAUGUUUCUUAUUGAGCAAAUCUGCGGUGGAAGCUGCAGAAAUCCUUUCAGUGGAGUAAAGACAGUAGAGUAGGAAGCAGUGCCAAAUUACCGCAAAUAUCUGUGGGGAAAUGAAUGGCAACAGAGCACGAAAAAGGGAGAAGGAUGGGAGAUAGAUGGACACGGUAGUAGUCGAGGCUUCUCCAGUGCACUUGACAAAUAAACUUAAAAUUUUGCAGGUUUCCUGAAUCUAGUAACAAGUCUGCAAUUGUGUUAGCAGCAUUCACUUCUCAGAAAUACUUCCUCCCCAGAGUAAUUCUAGAACUGCAUAGUACUGUAGCAGUAAUUUAUGAACGCUGUUUCGGUAUUUUUCAGGUCACAGGGAGGGAGAUCUUUCUAGUUCUGAAAGAAAAACAUGGUAUGGGGUUCGACGAUUUCAUCGAAGAAAAGAUAUGCCCUUUGGCAGGAGACAUCAUGUAUGAGAACUUUGGACUAGACACUGCCAACCUGAGAGAAUUGUCCAAGGACAUAGACAUCAUCGUCAACAUAGCUGCGAUUACAAACUUCUCUGAAAGGUUUGAGCCGGUGUUUCCUUGUAAGAUACUGUAUUAGUUUUUCUUUCAACACGAAACGGUAGGAAUUUCUUCCCAGUGCAUGUAUUUGUAAGAGAUUAGCGACAUGACAUAGACGCUGCUUGAAAUAAUUGAUCAAGAUAUGAUGCCUUUUCAGAUACGACGUGGCUUUCGAUGCUAACGUGUUGGGAGCGAAGCACGUGUGCGCAUUCGCAAGGAAGUGUACGAAACUCAAGAUGCUGCUUCAUGUUUCAACUGGUGGGAAAUCAAUAAGACUGAUCAAUGCAUUGUGGAUUACAUAAAUGGAUUACAUGAUUUGAACAGCCUAUGUAGCUGGUGAACAAGAGGGGCUAAUACUAGAGAAGCCAUUCUUGAUGGGUGAGACACUAAGGGAGGGCACACAUUUGGACAUCGAAUCCGAGUUAACUCUGAUCAGAGAGACCAGGCGAGAGUUGAAGGACAACUGUUCUUCGGAGAAGGCUGAGAGGAGAACCAUGAAGGAGCUUGGCCUCAAGAGGUCAGACAUAAACAACAACAGCAUAGAUAUGCUUGUGCACUUCUUUCUGCUGCAACUGGUUAGCCUUAAUGCAAUUCUGACACAUCUGUUACAUGCAAGGUUUUGGUUACCGAAUAAGGCAAUUUUACCGAGGGGCACGGAUAAAUGUGGUUACCACGGUUACCGAGAAAUACCGAGAAUAUUUCAAGCGAAUUUUAUAGUUGAAUUUUGAAUUCAAAUAAGUGAAUGAACGAAUAUUCGAACCAGAGACCUCUCAAAAUAGGAACUAGGUUGAUACCAACAUGCCAGAACCAACUCUCAUGGGAUUAAUUAGAUCCUACGUACUUUACUGUAAAUCGAGUGUUUAAAUUCCAAAAUUUCAAAAAACUGGUAUUUUUUGCUCGGUAUGGCGAUUUACCGAGGGGUACGGAAAUACGUGGUAACCAUGGGAAAUCUUGAAAUUUCGACCGGUAACCAAAACCUUGGUUACAUGUAUGAAUGAAGGGCUCGGCAGUUUGGGUGGCCAAACACCUAUGUCUUCACCAAGGCAAUGGGGGAGAUGCUGCUGGGGCAUCUGCCAGGGGAGCUUCCCGUGGUCAUCCUCCGGCCGAGCAUCAUAACCAGCAUCCUCAAGGAGCCAUUACCUGGAUGGAUGGAAGGAAUCAGGUGACAGAAACUCUGUCAAGAAUCUGUUUCUUGAUUAUUUUCUCAGGACAGUAAACUACUCCUACAACAAUAAGCAUUAAUUGAAUGAACAUCUUCAUGUUCGGGUUCCGCAGGACGAUCACGCGGUGGUCAUCGGCUACGCCAAGCAGACCUUGCCAUUCUUCCUAGUCGACCUCAGCUUGAUAAUGGACGUGGUAAUUAAGUUUUCUCAUGACAAAGUUUUUUUUUGAAAAGUGCUUAUUACAAAGUUAACCCGGAGUAGCAUACCUAGUAAGUUACCCAACUGUUUUGGACAGAUUCCUGGGGACAUGGUGGUGAACGCUAUGAUGGUGGCCAUGGCGGCCCACUCGGAGGAGCGGGCGCAGACCAUCUACCACGUGACGUCGUCGCUGCGCAACCCGGCGCCCUACGCGAUCCUGGCGGAUACGGGGCACCGCUACUUCUACGACAAUCCGCCGCGCACGGGGAGGAACGGCGAGCCCGCCCGGCUCAACAAGAUGCGCUUCUUCAGCACGGUGGCGCGGCUGAGCCUGUACAUGGCCGUCAGGUACAGGCUCCCGCUCGAGGUAAAUUCAAAAUUAGCCCGCCAUUUCAACAUUGGAUGGGAAUGGGACUCAUUGGAGUGAGAUGAGGAUGAGACUACUCAAUCAAUCUGCUGGGUUGGUUGGAUGGAGAACAGAUGCUUCGGCUGGUGAACAUUGCGCUCUGCGGCUUCUUCUCGCAGCGCUACGACGACCUCAGCAGGAAGUACAGGUUCAUCGUGCAGCUCAUCGAGCUCUACGCGCCCUACAGCUUGUUCAAAGGCUGGUACGUACGUACGCGUCAAAAUGUAGUAACAUUUUUACAGUGCGUAAGAUAAGCACGGCUCUUUGACUUGGUUUUUUCUCGACCGUGUGAAGCUUUGAUGACAUGAACACGGAGAGGCUAAGGAUGGCGAUGAAGAAGGAGCAACAUAGCAACAUUGCAGAAGAAUUCUACUUUGAUUUCGAUCCCAAGUCCAUCGACUGGGACAGCUAUUUCUAUGGUGUUCACAUCCCCGGUGUGCUCAAGUACAUGCGUGAUUGAGUUACAAGUAUUUAACUAGUCAAAUUUCCAGCCAGUUGCUACCACUGAAACUUGAGAACAAUUGUCUCCCUUUUUUUGGGAAUGAUUUAAACAUUGAUCGCCAUGCCUACCACGCGGUAAUAAUUGUCUCCCUUUGUUAUGCGGCUCUUUUUCUUCUCCGGGUUUUAUUAUGCAACUCUAAUGAAUAUAUCUAUCUUACUCCACUAGUUAUGCAACUCCCACGACCAUGAAUGUAUUACAAAUGUUGUUUUUUUCACAAAAUGGAAGUUGAAACCCAUGACCACUGCAUAGUGUGAUGCACAUAUACAUCCUUAUUAGCGUUAUGCAACCAACAUCCGAAGAAGCACAAAAUGCAGAAAAUAAAACCAAUCACAACCAACCAAUAACGGGAUUACACUCCUAUACAUAAUCUCUUAUUGGACCGCUAUCCAUUGUAUCCCGUGCGACCAUCGGUUGGAAAUCAAAGGCCAUAGAUGUCCCACACAUUAUAAAGAGCAUCAUAUACGGAUUCAUCCUGUAGAUCAGAAGAUAACCCUGCAAGAUCCCCUAAAAAAGAUAACUUGAAAGAAUUUUGAAAGGUUUCUUCUAUUAUAAACACUAGUAAUUAUGGUAAUUCCAAAUUGCUCACAAUAAGACACACGCUUUCACAUGGACCCCCACCAGCUAGUCCCCAACGUACUUUUGUAUGAUGGUAGGUGGAGACAGAUGAAUGGCUAUGUGAAUCGUACGCCAAGUGAGAGCAGCAAACAUGCAUGAAAUAAAAAAAGAUGUUGAAUCGGUUCCUCCUGUUCACAAAACAAUAUUUUCCGCAUCCCUCCAUCCACGAUUGGUCAAAAUAGCACCAUGAUUGAGAUACCACAUUAAAACAUUGAUCAAAAAGGGUACUUUUAAUCUUCGAAAGAGACUUCAUACUGAAAGUUACUUCCUCCGUUUCAAAAUAGAUGAACCAACUUUAUACUAAUUUUGGAAUGACCCAACUUUGUACGAAAGUUAGUACAAAGUUGGUUCAUCUAUUUUGAAACGGAGGGAGUACCUAGGAGUCCAUAAGAUCAGUGUGCAUGGACUUGACGGAGAAACACUAGGAGAGUGCAACUUUCGGCUGAAUAUAUCAGGUUUCCUGUGAUAAUUAAGUUGAUGGCAAUCAACCGGCGAACUAGAUACAGCGAUGCAAUCGACUUAUCCCCAACUAGAGCCCGACGUAAUUGAAUGUUCGGCGACUUCCCUAAAACAGGUGCACCAAAAACCUCUUUUUGUUGUACAAUACUAUAUAGAGAUGUGUACUGAAGGCUAGAGGUGCAUCUCCAAGCCAUGGGUUGUCGCAAAAUCUCAUGGUCUUUCCAUUGCGUACCCAGAAAAUCCUUAUGAAGAAUUCGUUUUAAUCAAGCCUUUCCAGUAUGCCGAGUCAAACGGCUUGUCGAAACCUGUUGGAAAUAUUGCCUUAGAGGUAGUAGUAAAUGUUCUUAUUUAUUUCCAUGCUUGUAAUUAAUGUUUACAUUUCUAUGCUAGAGUUGCUAUGGUUCUUGAAUAUAAGAUUUAGAGGAAAACUCAUAUGCAUGUGUGAAAACUUAGAUUCUGCCUUGAGUGGUUGGAUCUGAUGGCGGCGGUGAUUGACUGCUCCCUUCUUGAAGGCAUCAUUGUUGAAAAACCUCAUCGCUCGUAUGGUGUCAUGAGAUGGUUGGCGCGGAUAUGAUCAUUGUCGUAGUUUGCCAAUGGUGGAUCGGGUCGCUUUGUUUUUUUUUUUCUUGUCUACGCAUAGCUUUGGUCUUAUAUGACUUUCCUACUUGCCGGCGUGUUUUUGUGUGUGCGUCUUGGUGUUGGUUGUGUGCAUUCUAAUUAUGCAGAGGUCGGGUGUGUGUUCAUUGUGUUUGUAUACUCUUGAUGUUCCAUUUUAUGUUGAUAAAAUCCACCCUUUAUCGAAAAAGUAGGUUGCUAGUCUCUUGACACAACUUCAACACCCAUAUGCUUUAUUGUUAAUGAAGCCGACAAAUGUGUCUACUACCACUAUGGCGGGGCGAAGGAGUAAUCCCUACUUGUAUGUUGAUGACAUACUAAUAUUUGGGACCACACUCAAAGUCAUUGACGUGGUCAAAACUUUCUUAUCUCGAUGUCAUGAGAUGAAUGACCUUGAAGAAACCGAUGUUAUCAUAAACACCAAGCUGCUGAGAAAUGAAAAUAAUGGGAUUACUCUUGUGGAAUCUCAUUAUGUGAAAAAGGUGUUGAGCAUAUUUGGAUAUUUCAAUUGCAAAGCUUCUCUAACUCCUUAUGAUUCUAGUAUAUUGCUUCAAAAGAAUCAAAUGGCUACUAGAGAUCAGUUGAGAUACUCUCAGAUAAUUGGCUCGCUCUUGUACUUAGCUAGCGCAAGAGGCCAAAAAUGUCAUUGUGAGCAAACUAAGUUGUUUAGUUUCCAAUCUGGGAUAUGACCAUUGACAUGCUCUUGAGAGAGUAAUGCGAUAUCUAGAGGGAGCCAUGAGCUAUGACAUUUGCUAUAAUGGAUUGAAGAGUAUAGUGACUCAAGUUCGAUUUUCUGAUGCUGAUGAGAUAAAGGCCACAAGUGUAUACAUACACUAGUAGAAAAGGGGGCAAUGGUCCAGGCCGGGUUAGCCCAUUAGUCCCGGUUCAAUCCAGAACCGGGACCAAUGGGGGCAUUGAACCCGGUUCGUGAGCCCCGGGGGCCGGCCGGGCCACGUGGGCCAUUGGUCCCGGUUCGUCUGGACCUUUUGGUCCCGGUUGGUGGGACGAACCGGGACCAAUGUGCCUUGCUCCUGGCCCACCACCAUUGGUCCCGGUUGGUGGCCUGAACCGGGACCAAAGGCUUCCCUUUAGUCCCGGUUCAAGCCACGAACCAGGACCAAUUAAUUGCCUAUAUAUACCCCGCGAGCAGAGCACUCUCACUGCUCUGUUUUUCGUGGCCGGCGAGGAGAGAGCUUUGUGGUGCUUUAGCUCACCUCCUAUGCACACGAGGUGUUCGAUGGAAUGCCCGAGCCACACUACUUAAGCUUUCUCCUCUCCAAGCUCGACCUCCAAGCUCCAUUUUCCUCAAUAUUUGUCUAGGUUUAGCGGUCCGUCACGUCCCGUCCCCGUCUUCACCACCGUCGAUCGCCCGCGCCGAUCUCGUGUCGGCAUCACCGUGGUGAGCCUCUUAUUCUUAUCUUCUUUCUGAAAGGAAAAAAAAUUCUUACUUUUAUGUUUAUAUAGAUACUUGUAUAAUUUUCUUACUUUUAUUAUUGCAUCUUAUAUAGUGCGAUGGUUUUGGUAUCCGCCCCCGUCGGCCCUCGUCCUGUCUAUGAUUCGGAUGUGGUAUAUAUUAUCUUUUCAUAACUAUUGGUUCAUCUAUUGUUUAUGACAAUUAUGCCGACCAACGUGACAUAGAUUUUAUUUAUCUAGGAGGUUGUUGAACUGGAAAUUCAAACCGACCCUAUUGUCGAGAGGUUAAAUUUAGUUGAAGAAGAAAACAAUUUGUUAAAGGAAAAAAUUAGAAAAUUUGAGGAGGAGAAGAUGAUAUUGGAGUUGCAUGUUGCGGAUGUCGUGGAUGAUCACAAGAUCAAGAUGGAUGCAAUGCGCUUGAAGAUUAAAAAGAUUAGAAAAUAUGCCAUUCAUACCGAGGCUUGGUAUCAUUAUAUCGUUGGAUCAGUUGUUACAUUGGUUGCGAUUAUGAUCGCAUUUGUUUUCGCAUUGAAAUAUUUUACAUAGUUUUAAUGUAUGAUUUAAUUAAUUUAGAUGCUCUGCAGAGCUUUAUGUUGUUAGAUGAGAACUAUGUAUGUACUUUGGUUUUAAUGUGAUGAUGAACUUCUAUUAAUUUGGUCACUUAAUUAUCUAUUCAUGAUGUUCUGUAAUGAUUUUUGACACAAUGCACGCAGAUGAACCGGCAAUGGAUGUACGGUUCAAGACACACCUCCGAGUACAUUAAGGGCGUGCAUGAAUUUUUCGAAGUGGCUGAGGCAAACAAGCAGAAUGGUUUUAUGUGUUGUCCAUGCCCUAUAUGUGGGAAUACGAAGUCUUACUCUGACCAGAAAAUCCUUCACACCCACCUGCUUUACAAGGGUUUCAUGCCACACUAUAAUGUUUGGACGAGGCACGGAGAAAUAGGGGUUAUGAUGGAAGACGACGAAGAAGAAAAGUGCGAUGACAACUAUGUGCCCCCUGAAUACGGUGAUGCUACUGAAGAUCAAGAGGAACCAGACGAUGUGCACGAUGAUGCUGCAACAGGCGAAGGUGCUGAAGAUCAAGAGGAACCAGACGAUGUGCCCGAUGAUGAUGAUCUCCGUCGGGUCAUUGUCGAUGCAAGGACGCAAUGCGAAAGUCAAAAGGAGAAGCUGAAGUUCGAUCGCAUGUUAGAGGACCACAAAAAAGGGUUGUACCCCAAUUGCGAAGAUGGCAACACAAAGCUCAGUACCGUACUGGAAUUGCUGCAGUGGAAGGCAGAGAAUGUUGUGCCUGACAAAGGAUUUGAGAAGCUACUAAAAAUAUUGAAGAAGAAGCUUCCAAAGGAUAACGAAUUGCCCGACAGUACAUACGCAGCAAAGAAGGUCGUAUGCCCUCUAGGAUUGGAGGUGCAAAAGAUACAUGCAUGCCCUAAUGACUGCAUCCUCUACCGCGGUGCGUACAAGGAUCUGAACGCAUGUCCGGUUGCGGUGCAUUACGGUAUAAGAUCAGACGAGAUGACCCUGGUGAUGUUGACGGCGAGCCCCCCAGGAAGAGGGUUCCUGCGAAGGUGAUGUGGUAUGCUCCUAUAAUACCACGGUUGAAAUGUCUGUUCAUAAACGGAGAGCUUGCAAGUUGAUGCGAUGGCACAGUGAGGACCGUAAGAAAGACGGGAAGUUGAGAGCACCCGCUGACGGGUCGCAGUGGAGAAAAAUCGAGAGAAAGUACUGGGAUGAGUUUGCAAGUGACCCAAGGAACGUAUGGUUUGCUUUAAGUGCGUAUGGCAUUAAUCCUUUCGGGGAGCAGAGCAGCAAUCACAGCACCUGGCCCGUGACUCUAUGUAUGUAUAACCUUCCUCCUUGGAUGUGCAAGAAGCGAAAGUUUAUUAUGAUGCCAGUUCUCAUCCAAGGCCCUAAGCAACCCGGCAACGACAUUGAUGUGUACCUAAGGCCAUUACUUGAAGAACUUUUGUAGCUAUGGAAUGGAAAUGGUGUACGUACGUGGGAUGAGCACAAACAUGAGGAAUUUCACCUAAAGGUGUUGCUGUUCGUGACCAUCAAUGAUUGGCCCGCUCUCAGUAACCUUUUAGGACAGACAAACAAGGGAUACCACGCAUGCACGCACUGUUUACUUGACACCGAUAGUAUAUACCUGGGAAGCUGCAGGAAGAAUGUGUACCUGGGCCAUCGUCGAUUUCUUCCGACCAACCAUCAAUGUCGAAAGAAAGGCAAGCAUUUUAAAGACGAGGCAGAUCACCGGAGGAAGCCCGCCAUGCGUACCGGUGAUCACGUACUUGCUAUGGUCAAUGAUUUACACGUAAUCUUUGGAAAGGGUCCCGGCGGACUAGCUGUUCCGAGUGACGCUGGGGGACACGCACCCAUGUGGAAGAAGAAAUCUAUAUUUUGGGACCUACCCUACUGGAAAGACCUAGAGGUCCGCUCUUCGAUCGACGUGAUGCAUGUGCCGAAGAACCUUUGCGUGAACCUGCUAGGCUUCUUGGGUGUGUAUGGGAAGACAAAAGAUACAGUUGAGGCACGGGAGGACCUGCAACGUUUGCACAAAAAAGACGGCAUGCCUCCAAAGUAGUAUGAAGGUCCUGCCAGCUAUGCUCUUACCAAAGAAGAGAAGGAAAUCUUCUUUGAAUGCCUGCUUAGUAUGAAGGUCCUGACUGGCUCUCGUCGAAUAUAAAAGGAAUAAUAAAUAUGUCAGAGAAAAAGUUUCAGCACCUAAAGUCUCAUGACUGCCACGUGAUUAUGACGCAACUGCUUCUGGUUGCAUUGAGGGGGCUUCUACCGGAGAACGUCCGAUUAGCCAUUGUGAAGCUAUGUGCAUUCCUCAAUGCAAUCUCUCAAAAGGUGAUCGAUCCAGAAAUCAUACCAAGGCUAAGAAGUGAUGUGGUGCAAUGUCUUGUCAGUUUCGAGCUGGUGUUCCCACCAUCCUUCUUCAAUAUCAUGACGCACGUCCUAGUUUAUCUAGUUGACGAGAUUGUCAUUCUGGGCCCCGUAUUUCUACACAAUAUGUACCCCUUUGAGAGGUUCAUGGGAGUCCUAAAGAAAUAUGUCCGUAACCGCGCUAGGCCAGAAGGAAGCAUCUCCAUGGGCCAUCAAACAGAGGAUGUCAUCGGGUUUUGUGUUGACUUCAUUCCUGGCCUUAAGAAGAUAGGUCUCCCUCAAUCGCGGUAUGAGGGGAGACUGACUGGAAAAGGCACGCUUGGAAGGGACUCAAUAAUAUGCAGGGACGGAUAUUCUUGGUCUCAAGCAUGCUACACAGUUCUACAGAACUCUACCUUGGUGACCCCGUAUGUCGAUGAACACAAGAACAGUCUGCGCCCCAAACACCCGGAGCAGUGCGACGACUGGAUUACAUGUGAACACAUCAGGACUUUCAGCAGUUGGUUGGAAGCACGUCUCAGAGGUGACAACACUGUUUGUGAUGAGCUGUACUUGUUGUCCAGGGGACCAUCUUCGACUGUUACGAUUUGGAAAGGAUACGAGAUAAAUGGGAAUACAUUUUACACGAUUGACCAAGAUCAAAAGAGCACCAACCAAAACAGCGGUGUCCGCUUUGAUGCAACAACCGAGAGGGGAAAGGACACAUAUUAUGGUUACAUAGUGGACAUAUGGGAACUUGACUACGGACAUGAUUUUAAGGUCCAUUUGUUUAAGUGCAAAUGGGUCAAUCUGUCAGGAAGCGGGGUACAGGUAGACCCACAGUACGGAAUGACAACAGUGGAUCUGAAAAAUCUUGGGUACACUGACGAACCGUUCGUCCUAGCCAAUGAUGUGGCACAGGUUAUUUAUAUGAAGGACAGUUAUUUAUAUGAAGGACAUGUCUACCAGACCGAGAAAAAAAAAGAUAAGGAAGCGAGUACAUCAUACGAUGAGCCAAAGCGCCACAUAGUUCUUUCAGGAAAAAAGGACAUCGUGGGAGUGGAGGGCAAGACAGACAUGUCUGAAGAUUAUGAAAAGUUUCAUGAAAUUCCUCCCUUUAAAGUCAAGGCUGACCCCGGCAUCCUGAUAAGCAAUGAAGAUUAUCCAUGGUUACGGCGCAAUAAGCAAAUGACACAAGCGAAGAAAAAGUGAAGACUUUCUCCCGCAACUAUUAUGAUGAUACCAUGCCAACUUUGUAACACACGAGUAUGAUACCAUUGUCCGUUUUGUACAUGCACAUGCUAUGUGGGUGAAUUUAUGAUACCAUGCCAACUUUCAACUUUUUCAUAGUUCAUUUGAAAUGAUUUAAUGUCUUAUGGUUCGGCCCUCGUAAUAAUUAAAAAUAGCAACAAUAAGUAUUUUGUUGUAAGCAGAAACAAAAUAAAAUAAAUAAAGUAAGAAAGAAAACAAAAAAACAAAAAAAGUGUUUUCAAAUUUGAAAACUAAUGGCACUAACAGAAAGUUUAUAAUUUUUCUAAAACUAAAAGAAAAAAGAAUUAAAAAUAAAGCAAAAAACAAAAGAAAAUAAAUAAGGCAGAAAACAAAACAAAAAAACUGGAAAAUAAUUAAAAAUAGCAACAAUAAGUAUUUUGUUGUAAGUAGAAACAAAAUAAAAUAAAUAAAGCAAGAAAGAAAACACAAAAACAAAAAAAUGUUUUCAAAUUUGAAAACUAAUGGCACUAACAGAAAGUUUAUAAUUUUUCUAAAACUAAAAGCAAAAAGAAUUAAAAAAUAAAGCGAAAAACAAAAGAAAAUAAAUAAUGCAGAAAACAAAACAAAAAAGUGGAAAAAUUAAUAAUAGCAACAAUAAGUAAAGAAAACAAAAAAAAAUGCCUCUUACUGGGCCCCCACGGCCUGAAUACGACUAGAAACCCAAGUAUGGGCCAGGAUUCAGGCCCGCAGUAGGCCCAGAAGGCCCAUCAGGCAAAGCAAUAGCAAGUAGGCCCGAAAGCCUGCGGUGGAGAGGAGGUCGAGAGGGGUGCAGCAGUGGGGCUUAUAAACCACUACACACCCCUCUCAACUAGCGAGGUGGGACUAAAGGGGGAGGCAUUGGUCCCGGUUGGUGGCACCAACCGGUACCAAAGGCCGCCGGUUCCCGCCCUUUGGGCUGCCGAAAAAGAGGCCUUUGGUCCUGGUUGGUGGCNNNNNNNNNNNNNNNNNNNNNNNNNNNNNNNNNNNNNNNNNNNNNNNNNNNNNNNNNNNNNNNNNNNNNNNNNNNNNNNNNNNNNNNNNNNNNNNNNNNNNNNNNNNNNNNNNNNNNNNNNNNNNNNNNNNNNNNNNNNNNNNNNNNNNNNNNNNNNNNNNNNNNNNNNNNNNNNNNNNNNNNNNNNNNNNNNNNNNNNNNNNNNNNNNNNNNNNNNNNNNNNNNNNNNNNNNNNNNNNNNNNNNNNNNNNNNNNNNNNNNNNNNNNNNNNNNNNNNNNNNNNNNNNNNNNNNNNNNNNNNNNNNNNNNNNNNNNNNNNNNNNNNNNNNNNNNNNNNNNNNNNNNNNNNNNNNNNNNNNNNNNNNNNNNNNNNNNNNNNNNNNNNNNNNNNNNNNNNNNNNNNNNNNNNNNNNNNNNNNNNNNNNNNNNNNNNNNNNNNNNNNNNNNNNNNNNNNNNNNNNNNNNNNNNNNNNNNNNNNNNNNNNNNNNNNNNNNNNNNNNNNNNNNNNNNNNNNNNNNNNNNNNNNNNNNNNNNNNNNNNNNNNNNNNNNNNNNNNNNNNNNNNNNNNNNNNNNNNNNNNNNNNNNNNNNNNNNNNNNNNNNNNNNNNNNNNNNNNNNNNNNNNNNNNCCCGCCGCCCCUGCAAUUUCCAUAGCAAUUUUUUGCAUUUUUUUGUGUAUAUGUGUUUGUAUCUGUAUAUAUGUGUGUACAUGUUCAUAGUAUUUUUUUUCAUAAGUGUAUUUUUUUGGUUCAUUGCAUUUUUUUCAUAUAUAUAAUGUAUAUAUGUAUGUGGUAGCUAUAUAUAUGAUGAAUGGAUGUGGCUAUAUAUGUAUGUAUGAAUAUAAUGUUCAUAGCAUUUUUUUGUUUAUAUAUGUUUUUUCAUGUAUGUAUUAAUUUUUUAUUUAGGUUGUUAGUAGAUAUCGAUUUUAGGUUAGUGCAUUUUAGGUUAGUGUAGAGGAUAAAGUAAAAUAAGGAAAAGGAAGAAAAGAGGAAGAAGGAAGAAGGAAGAAGAAGAAGAAAAAGAAUGAGAGGAAAAAGGAAAAUAAGAAGAGGAAGAAGAGGAGAGGAAGAAGAGGAGAAAUAAAUAAGAAGAAGAAAAAAGAAGAAAAAGAAGAGGAGAAGAAGAAAGGAAUAGAGGAGAAGAAGAAAAAAAUAGAAUUUUAUUUUUAUUUUUUCUUCUUCUCAUUUAUUCCUUUCUUCUUCUCCUCUUUUUUUCUUCUUUUUUUUUCUUCUUCUUCCUUCUUCCUUCUUCCUCUUUUCUUCCUUUUCCUUAAUUAUUUUCCUUUCUCGUCGUUGUCGCGUCGUUGUCGAUAUAACCCCCUCGAGAUAACUUCGACAUGAGGGCCGGUCAAUAUAUAUACCCCCUCUCAACUGCGAUAACUUAUACAACGGUAGCACCCCCCUCGGCCCUCUCGCUCGACCAAAACUCUCGAGGACACCCAAACCCUAGAGAGAAUUGGUCUCCUACCCCCUCCCGCCGUGCCCCUACCCGACAAAUUAACUCUCUCGAGGCCACCCAAAUUUACCAAGUUAAAAUAGCGUUGUCGUCGAGGCCACCCCAAACCCUUGAAGCGUUGUGUCGAGGCGAUCCCAAACCCUAGAGAAGCAGCGUCGAGGCCACUAACAUGAGUCCUUAUUGUGAUUAGCUAGCUAGUUCCAUCUGUACCAUGUUUGAAUAAUAAUUGACAUGUUGUAAAUAUUUGCAGAAACUAUGGAGCACUCCCGAGACGAAGAAACAGAAGCGAUGUUGGGGGACAUAAUCGCAAAUGGAAGUGAUGAAGUUGCGUCAUUUCUCCUCGACACCGAUGGUCAGCUGGAAGGACUGGGUGAAGAAGAGGGCUAUGUUCAUGAUGGCUUCGGCCCAUUAAUGCCGGUACAAAAAGAGGACUAUGUUCAUGAUGGCUCCAAUGACACAAUGGAGGUACAAGAAGGAGACCGUGCUGACUGCUCCGGUGACCGAACCGAGUCUGGCCAGGUAUAUAUAUAUAUUAGUUAAGCCCGUGCUGACUAGUUAAUUGAUGCUUCCAUUGUUUUGGUAUAUGUACACAUAUUAAUUACUCUCAUCUUUCUUCCUUAUAAUUUCUAGCCCUCCGGAUCGAGCACAACUUCGGUAAGGAGACGAGGCCCGAAGGAAAAGUUGAGCUCAGAUAAAAAGUUUGAGAUCAUAGAAAGCGCGCCCGACGGCGAAGCGAUUGAACCCAUCUGGACAAGGAAGGCAUUUUCUGCUCAGUUCGGGGUUCUUGUUAGGGACAAGAUCCCGAUCAGCAUCCAGCAAUGGUAUAAGCCUAAGGAGGAAAACCCUGAGGUGUCUUAUGUCAAUGAUAUGGAAAAAGAAGAUCUUUGGACUCAGCUGAAGGCAAAUUUCACCCUACCGCCAGAGGAGGAUCCGGAGAAGCCAGUUAAAGAGCAAUUAAUCAAGUCUUAUGCUCUUAAGAAGAUGGCAACCCUAAUGAGGAGGUGGAGGAAAGAGCUGAACCAGUUUGUCGGAAAAAAAGACACCAGAAUUCAUCGGCAAAUAUGAGAAGAUCAAAGAUCACUGGCCCGCAUUUGUGGCCCACAAGACAUCAGAAAAGAGUAAGAAGAUGUCGGCGACAAACAAGAAAAAUGUUGCAAAGAAGAAGCUUCACCAACGCACGGGGUCAGGUGGCUACCUCAAAGCCCGGCCUAAGUGGUCCAAGGCUGAGCAUGAUCUGCUUGAAAAAGGGAUCGAACCAGAGACAAUAUACUGGCCAGACCGUUGCCGGACUUGGUUCUUCGGGGCUGGCGGAACCUUGGACCCUGUAAUAGGGAAGUGCCAUUGGACGGACGAGCAACUGCAAAUACCAGUCAAGAACCUUCGACACUAUAUCGAGGCAGCGCAGCAAGGGACGUUCAUUCCAAACAGGGAGAAGGACGAGCUCAUAAUGGACCUUGGUAAUCCUGAGCACCCUGGACGGACACGAGGCACGCCAGGCUCCAUUCCAUGGAAGGUUGGUUUUCCGGACGCAGGGGGUUACAAAACCCACGAGAGGAGGAAGAAACUGGAGCAGGGCCAACUGCAGGCGCUGCACGAAAGGGUAAUGGGGCUAGAGGAACGAGAAGAGGAAUGAGAAGCAGCAGAUCGCAGCAAACGACCUACCGAAGCUUCCCCCGAAGCUACCCUGCCAUCUCAGCGGAGAAGCGGCGUGGCUUCCACCGAGCUGCUUCAGUCGGAGCAUGUCUUGAUGGCUCCUGCGAGCUAUCCCGUGGAUGAUAUCACGGAGUCUCAAAAUUGCCACAUAAUGGCGCGAUGGAUGAAUUUGAAGGUCAAGGCGGUUGUUGGCUCUGUUUAUCCUAGUGGACCCGGCACAACUUAUCACUACCAGCCGAUUCCAGAAGGAUAUGCUAAGGUGAUGGUGGAUGAAAUAACAGAAGGAUUUGAGGACCUCCCGCUUGACCACCCUACCGGUGAAGGGGAGACUAGGCUGGGUUCUACUCUGAAGACUCCAUGCCUAUGGCGGAAGGAGCUCAUCAACCUUUCGAACUGGACGCCUCCGCCUCCUCCUCCUCCUCUGGCGAGUCAGGGCACUCCGCCUCCUCCACCGCCUCCUUCUCCGGCGAGUGACGAUCAGGGCACGCGUGGCGGCACUCCGCCUCCUUCUCCGGUGUGUGGCGGCACUCCGCCUCCUUCUCCGCCUGCGUCGGCACUCUCGAGCAGCCAACAGCCUCCUCCUUCUCCGCCUCGCCAGCAAGGGCGGAAGAGACCCGCCGCCGCCCCGGCUGCUCCGGCGCAUCGUACUCCUUCUCCUCCGCCUCGUAAGCAAGCACGAAAGAAGACAGACGCCGCAGCCGCUCCGUCUGCUCCGGCGUCUAGCAGCACAACCAGAGGCGGGAGGCAAUACAAAUACGGUCCACCUCUCAAGCCUCUAUAGAAGUUACCGUACGAGAGGACAGAGGAGGAAAACGAUACGAUUGUGCGGACCCACGUGAAGGAGUUCUUUGAAGGGGUGAAAGCAAAGAGACAUCCACCUCCGGAGGAGAAGGUAGAUCCGGUGAAAGCAAAGCGCACUAUCGAUGCCCUGAGGAAACCACCAAAGUCUCCACCGAGAACCAACUAUGAGCGCGUUACUGAAUAGACAUAUCUCCAAGCCCAGCGGUCGGGAACUACUGUCAGUGAUAAAAGGUUAAAAGAACGAGCAAAGGGGAAAAAAUUGCCCAGCUCGGCGAACAAGCACAGCAAUCGUGCCCCCCGCUCAAUGUGUCUAAUGCUCCGGGGACGGUGGCCGGUUAUGGCAAUCUUGAAGAUUACCUGCCUGGCGAUGCACUUCCUGAUUUCAUGGAGGUGGACGAACACAGAUACGAGUACGGGAAGCCUCUCGUCAAAGAUGAAAAAUCUCUGACAACAAUGAUGCGAAGAUUCCAUAGUUGGUACAUGAAAACCUGUAGAGAGUCUGAGGGGACGAAUAGUUUGUAUCUGAACAUUAAAGAGGAGCACAACCUCGUUUCAAAUGAUCUGUUGUGUGUUCCAUUUGAUGAGUUCUUCGCGUUCUUCAAUCAAAAGGCCCUCGAUAAAUUAAUGGUAUUUUGCUACUGCCUGUAAGUACUAUUUCUGUCAUUAAGUCUCUAUAUAUAGCUCGUCUCUUUCAUUGCAUGUAUUUAUAAUUAAUUAUCCUCAAUAUAUUAUGCAGAUUGAAGAUCAUCGAGUGUAAAAAACAAGAAAUUUAUGAUAUUGGGUUCAUUAACACAAAUAUCAUAGAUGAAUUUCUGGUUGAAAAGGACGUCAAAGAGGCCGAGGACAACUUGCUACAAUCGUUGAUCAAAAAUCAAAACAAAGAUACCAUACUCUUUCCUUACAACGGCAAGUGAGUGUUACUGUCGUGUGCAUAUUCGAUUUCCCUUAUUACUCGAGCGAGGUUAUAGUAAUGUAAUUGAUGAGUUAUGCAUGCGUGCGCAGGUACCACUAUAUUCUUUUGGAGAUUAAGCUUGAGCGUGGACUAGUAACCGUCUUAGACUCGAGACGGAAAGAUCCCAAAACCUAUGGGGACAUGACUGAAAUGCUCAGCAAGUAAGUUCAAUCGAUCAUUAUCGCACCAUAUCGGCAACUUUUUGUUCAUUUCCUGAUAUCUCAAGUAAUAAUAAUUAUUUUCUUUGUCUUGCAGGGUUUGGAAACAGUUCACCGCAGAAGCUCCGGGACUGCCGAAGGAGCUGCGAUAUACAUACACGAAAGUAAGUACUACUAGCUAGCUAGUUGCGCGCAUUUCCCGUUGAUUCUAUAGCUAUACUUUCAUCAAUGCCAUUUAUAAUGCUUCAUUAUCAGUUUGAUUGACCUCUAUUUCUCGUAAAGUGCUUGUGGCAGGAGGAAGGGAAUGAUUUCUGUGGAUACUACGUGUGUGAGUUCAUCCACACCGCGACUUUGAAAAACAAGCGGGGCUACUCUAAAAGACAAUAUGAAGUGUGUAAGCAAUAAUAUUCACAAUUUCAUUUUAUUACACCAUCAUUUCUGUUGAGUUUCAUUCAUAUAUAUGUAUUAAUUAACCCCCUUCUUCAAAUUAGACGUGGCAGAUGCGGAAUGAACUCCUAGAACCAGAUCGCAUGAAAGAAAUUCAAGAGGAAUUGGCGAGAUUCUUUCUUGACCACGUCAUCAGUAAAGCCGGAGAAUACCAUGUGGAAAUUGAUUUCAAAUGCAAGGGGUUUGUAAUUAAGAGAUCUUAUACAUAUUGUACAUGUAUGUAGCCAGUAGCGUCGGAUACAUGAUAUGAAAACUUGUCGUUUGACCAAUCUCUCGGAGAAGGAGAGGUCAAUCGAUCACUUCUCUCGGUAUGCAUGACGAACUUCUGUACUGAAUGGUUCUCUCGAUCACUUAUGUAUAUAUAGUACGUAGCGUCGACCAAGCACGGACAUAAGAGAGGACACUUCUCUCUAUUAAUUAGCUAGCUAACACAAUAUAUGAAACACCUAANNNNNNNNNNNNNNNNNNNNNNNNNNNNNNNNNNNNNNNNNNNNNNNNNNNNNNNNNNNNNNNNNNNNNNNNNNNNNNNNNNNNNNNNNNNNNNNNNNNNNNNNNNNNNNNNNNNNNNNNNNNNNNNNNNNNNNNNNNNNNNNNNNNNNNNNNNNNNNNNNNNNNNNNNNNNNNNNNNNNNCCUCCUUUCAAAAAAAACCCCCAGCCACUGGAAUGCUGACGCGUGGAUGCCUUUUGAUCCUGGUUGGAGCCACCAACCGGGACCAAAGGCCCCCUGACUGGGCUCGACGCACAGGGCCACGUGGAGGCACAUUGAUCCCGGUUCGUGUUUGAACCGGGACUAAUGGGUGGAGGUAUUAGUAACGACCCAUUAGCCCCGGUUCAUGAACCGGGACUAAAGGCCCUUACGAACCGGGACUAUUAGGUGUUUUUCUACUAGUGAUAUUCCUACAGGGAGUAUAUGUUUAUUGGAAUCAUGAUAAUUAAGAGCAUCUACACCCGGAUAUGGAAAAUACGGCUCCUCAAACGCCCGCGGACACUCCCGGGCACGUCUGCAGGCAGUGACCGGUCACUCCUCAAAUCAACACAACUGCAUCCGGACAUCUCAUACUAGAUUCUCAAAUCCAUACAAAAGCAUGUAAACUUAAAAACCUACGUACUACGUAGCUACUUAUCGUCGAAGAUGUCGACAAUUUUGGUGCCCGACUCUAGGUACAUGAGCAGCAGCUGUAGCUCCGGCGCCUCCGGCUGCUCAGCUUCGGUCUCCUCCUCCUCCUCUAUCUCCGCCUCGAGUUCGGUGAAGAGCGCGUCGGACGCCGCCUGCUCCUGCCAAAGGAACUGUCAGUUGUCCUCCAAAUAGGUCUCAUCCUGGAUGGACUCCAGAAUGCCUGCUGCUCCACCAUCUCCACAGCUUGGGCGACGGCGAACUCCGCCUCUGCCUCCACCAUGCUNNNNNNNNNNNNNNNNNNNNNNNNNNNNNNNNNNNNNNNNNNNNNNNNNNNNNNNNNNNNNNNNNNNNNNNNNNNNNNNNNNNNUGCUCUGCCUCCUCCUCCAGAUCCGCCACCUCCAUCGGCUCCGGCAGCGUCUCUCCCUCCUCCUCCGGUUGCUGCUCCUCCUCCCCCUCCUCCGGCUCUAGCGAGUCCGGAGACAGCCCGGCAGUGAUGCAGGCGGCGUGCCUUGCCUGGAUCUCCUCUGCGAUAUGCCUCCGUGAGCAUAACAUACGUGGUGAUCACAGGGCCGGUCCUGAGAUUUUGGGGGCCCGGGGCAAACCUAAAACUCGGGGCCCUUCCGUAUAAGCAGUAGAGUAGUUGUAAUUGAUAUAUGUACAAAAUAUUACCAAUAAGCAUGUAAAUGCAUCUUAAAAAUCAAUUUUCAGGUCAUAAAUCUUUGUUUGCGGCCAAACACAUAUGCUCUUUAAACGUCAUGAUAACACAAAGUGCUAAAAAAUUGCAUGAAAGCUUGAAAAGUGCAAGCUACAUAUGGAUGAUGCAUACAGUGGCGAAUCUAGGACGUAAAUGCUGGCAGGCACAACUUCAAGGGCACGCUAGAGCCCGUUAAAGCCUGUUGAGUAGAAUCGCCCCUGGAUGCAUAUGAAGAUAAAUUACAUAAUUAGGGUAGAUCCAGAUUCCAAAAAUCCACACCAUACACAUAGAACACUAAUAUAGCACAACGGACUGCGUACAUGGUGCGUGUGACAGGGCAAACACCAGUUGUAGGAAUUAUGGGGCUCUUCUAGACCUAUGUCUGUGAAUCUUCCUAGAUGCAUCACGGUGGGUGCUGGAGCAAAUCACGUCACACAACACAACGAAUGAGCGACCGUGAACCCAUUAUAAAUCUAGAUAGAUAGAUAUGCCGAUAUGACAUGGGGAGUGAUAAGUUGAAGAUUUGAUAUUACCUUGAUUGGUCAGAUCUCGAAGAUAAUGCGAUGUGAAUUUGCGUCAGGCUCCGGAAGGAGGCGCUUAACAGCGUGCGUGCGCGUCCAGCGUCUGAAGACCAGAGGCGUGCUGCACUCCGGCGGAGGUUCGUCCAGCGCCGCCAGCAACUCGCAUCGCGACCCGGGGCAUAGGAUAGGGAUCGUAGGACUUGCUCUCGGAAGGAACUGACGAUUGCAACGUGGACUCCUGUCUCCAAGGCCCGUAGGCUCUCCCUCGGGAUCGUCGUGGCUGCUAGGCCCUUGCGGCCGCGUCAAUACUAUGCAUGCGAUCCUAAUCAAUCAAUCAGGCGGGCCUAAUACUACUAGUGAUUAGCGCCCCUGCCUCNNNNNNNNNNNNNNNNNNNNNNNNNNNNNNNNNNNNNNNNNNNNNNNNNNNNNNNNNNNNNNNNNNNNNNNNNNNNNNNNNNNNNNNNNNNNNNNNNNNNNNNNNNNNNNNNNNNNNNNNNNNNNNNNNNNNNNNNNNNNNNNNNNNNNNNNNNNNNNNNNNNNNNNNNNNNNNNNNNNNNNNNNNNNNNNNNNNNNNNNNNNNNNNNNNNNNNNNNNNNNNNNNNNNNNNNNNNNNNNNNNNNNNNNNAGCCGCCGGACCAUGGUGAUGCCGGACAACGUGGAAGAGCUGGGACAGCUUGGGGGAGUGGGAAGAGGAGGCGGACAGGCUCGAGUGGCGGGGUAGAGAGUGAGGAGGUGGAUGGGCUAGGGUUGGGGGCGCUGGCCAGCUUUGGCCUCGGGCGGCGAGCCAGAGCGGCGCCACGCGGCGACGGAGGAGGCGUCCGUUGAACCGCCGGGUUUCCAGACGUUUCCGCGAGGGACCCCAUCGUCAGUCCUACGUGACGGGCACGCUGAGGCGCCCCAUAUCCGCUCCAAAUUUGAACUGGAUAUGAGGGGUACCGGUCAGCCCGGGCGUUUGAGGCCCGCUCGAGGCGCUCGUCUGGAUCAGAUAUCCGUGACCGGGCGGGCCGUCCGGGCGAUUGAGACCGGUUUUGGGCGCUUCUAUAAAUGCUCUAAUCAAGCAAAAAUGCAAAUUGAAGAUAAGACCGAGAUCCCAGAAAGACAGUAGAACAUUUUUUUAAAGCAAAACAGUAGAACAAUAUGCAUAUAAUCAUACAUCACAGCCCGCCGUACGUACAAAGGCCCCACAAACCACCGUGCAAAAACCAACCCAAUGUAAGAGCGAGCAAGAAAGAGAAGAAUGAAUAGACCAGUCUCGGAGAAGAAGAACAAUCCUCUCCAGGCCCACGGAGAAAAAACAAAAUGACACACACGUAAGUAAGGUCAAGGUCGCGUUCAGAGCCUCCGGCAGCCUCGUCUCAG